UUCUUUAUAGCUAGCUUCUCGUUCAAGAUGCUUUGGACAUUGUUCUCACAAACUCAAAAUUGGGGGACACAAAUUAGGUUUCAUUCACCUCUUUACAAGCCCAACUUCUCUCCAAAUAUAUCAAACAAAUAAUAUACAAUGCAUGUGUGUGUGAUAUGUUUAUGCAAUUUAUAGACUACUCAUAAUAACGUCGUCUAAAGCUGGAUAAAACAUACUAUUAAAGUUCCUCACCUAUCUAAAUAUAAAAUAUUAAAAAAUUUAUCAUACUAAAAUUUUCAACAUGUUACUUGCCUGCAUCCCCUUGAGCGGAUGUGAAAAGAGGAUUUCUCAUUUGAGAAUCUCAUGCAGCAACAGUUGAACACGACACAUCAAUGAAGUAUAUACAAGGUUAGGUGCCUCCAUUUUUGCGGUAAACAUGAGAAUGGAUUGCCAAUAUUGCCCUAAAUUAUGGUCAAGUAAGUGCAUGUUAAGUUUUGUAUAGCUUAUGGAUAGUCCUUUAGUACUAGUUUUGAGUGAUUGAUGAAAUGUUGUCUUAACAAAUGUAGGGUUAUGGAAUUUAAGGAUAUUUGUCCAAGAUCAAGUGGCUUCAUGUAAUAGAGUUGGCCCGCCUUCUAACAUCUUGUAUUCGAUUGAUUACGAAGCUAAAGUCCUUACGUACUAUAGUACAGAAUAUAUAAGCACCCCCACCCACCAACACCCACUUUCGGAGGAGGCUUCCAGUGUUCCGGAGAGUGGUCUUCUUAAGGGAACUAUCAUAGGAACCAAAUGUGAAAGAGGGUUGACUUGGAAGGUGUACCUCAACAUUCUUGCAUCAGCAGAUAGUGAAGACUUGACAAUUGUGGAAUCAGUGCUACAAUAAUAAGCCUCCUAAUUAAGUCCUAAGAUACAUAAGACCAAUAAAAGAGUACUAUGUGCUUAGAUUUUUUUUUUUUUUUUUUCGAAUACUAUGUGCUUAGAUUAAUCUUCCAAUUAAUAAGGAAACACAAUUCAUUUACUUAUAAUAUUAAGGUCGUAUAAAUGAGUCUUAAUAGUCCAGGAAACAACUCAUAGGAUCAUUCACCUUUUGAAAAUAUACAAGGAAAACAAUUAUUAUAUUAACUCUCGUUUCCCCAAGAUAUCCCUCCAAAUUAAGUGCAUUAUGUUUAGGUCUUUUCCAAUAAAGUUGGAUGGCUCUAACUAGAUGGACUUAGUAAAUUAUCAAAUCAGUCAUUACUUGUAAGUAGAGUUAUUAAGUUGGUUAGAUGUAUGUGAUUCUCUCUUUUUAUCCCUUUUUUUUUUGUUGUGCGGCAGUGGACGAGAUUAAAAGCACAAGGUAGAAACUGGAAAACUUUGCCAAGGAAAAAAAAUGGUCAAAAGUUAGCAAGAAUUGCUUGUUUUUAUUUCUAUUUGUUUUAUUGUAUCAAAAACCUUUUGAAAAUAUUGUUGAUCAUUGACAAAUUCAGGAUCAAAGAGACCAAUCAAGCCAACAAAAAAAUGAUCAUACUUAGGCAUGUCAUCAUAUACUCACCUUUUAAUUUGAUUCAAUCAAAAGAUAUUACAUGUUUCUUGUUUUUAAAACUCAAGAAAAAUUAAACAUGUCUAUUAAUUUUUUUUAAAUAAUAUAACAUGUACAAUAUUAUUGGGUCAAAAUCAAAAGUGAGUACAUUUGCAAGAAUAAUACUUAAGUGCUUACUAUCAAUCAAAAAAUGCCAAGUGUUCUUUGUUUUAUUGAAGCCAUGCCUAUUAUUGUUUAAAAUAUUAAAUAAUGUGUUAAAAUAUCAUUAGAUUAAAAUAAAAAAGUAUGUAUGUAGACUACUCAUUAGUGGGAGUAGGAUUCUCUCCCUCCUCUAUUCUCAUCAUUUUCCCUCUCCUCCUUUCACACAUCGUCUUUUGUCUUAUUGCCUCUAUAAAAAAAAUUAUAUAAGAUGUUAAUGUGGCUUAACCGUGAUCGUUCAAAUAAGAGGAGAAUGAAAGGAAGAGAGAUUAAGAGGAGAGAGAAUCCCCCUCCUUAUAAGUGAGUGCCUAAGCAUUAUCCUAUUUGCAAUGGUGCUCGAGUGAGAGGAGCUGACUUAGACUUGUAGUCCCACUUUUAGUUACCUGAUAGCAAUGGUGCUCGAGUGAGAGGAGCUGACUUAGACUUGUAGUCCCACUUUUAGUUACCUGAUAGUCCCAACGUAGGUUUUGCCUUUUUGUUGUUCUGUAUCCUUAGUAGCUGAUCUCAUUAUCUCAUAUAUAAUAUUCCGACUUGACCUUUUGAUAUGGCUAACCAGACCAAGCAAUAAGGCCUCCAAAAAGCUUUGCCCUAAUGUUUUGGGCCUUUUGGCUGGUUGGAUUGCAACAGGUUAGAACCAAAUAUCUCCAAAGAGAUGGUUGUUGACAUGUUGUGGCUGGUUAAUCUUGAUGAAUUAUCUCCAAAUCGUAUUGAUUUGUCCUAAUUUUGUUUUCUUCUUGGUAAAUUAGACCUCCUGCAUGUCAUGUGCAUGUUUUUGGGGUAUUUUAUUCUAGCAGUUUUUUUGUUUGCAUGCAUGUUCAAAGUUGGUUGAUUUCAGUCUCGGUUUUUAAAUUAUUUUUGUAAAAAAAAAUUAAACCAGAAAAGAGCACAAAGCCGCAUACAACAUGCAAGUACUAAUUUAUUGGGAUUAUUGCAAAAGUGUUUGCAAGUGCAACAUGCAAGCUGGUUUUAUGUUGGAUAUAAUUUUAUUUUUAUGUGAAUAAUUUAUAAGUAAUAAUGAAACAUACUAAUUAUAGUUUAUCCCUUUAUGAUGUCAAGUACCAAGGAUGUGAUUGCAAGGUACAAAUCACAUACUGGUGGGGAAAAAUCGGAUCAAAUCACGCUUCACCAACUGCAGGUUAUUCAGUUCAAUAUUAGUUUUUUUUUUUCAUCUUUGCUCUAGAAUUUACAUUUUUAAUGGUACAACAAUUAAUUGUGCCAAGUGAGUGUAAUAUUUUCUUUGAUCUGCACUUGGAGCAUCGGAAUAUAUUUUUACAGCAUUACAAGUUAGACUUCUAUAUAUGCAUGCAGCAGGGUUGGCCUGUUAGACUAAAUAUGUGCAAGUACUUGGGGUUGAGUAAUGCCUCCCAAGUUAUAGUUUUAACUUCCAUUGAACAUUCUAAGUUUUCAUGUGACAGAUUACAUUUUUUUUCUUUCUUGUUUCUUUUUGAGCCUGAUGUUUAUAAGUUUUUCACGUGACAGAGUAGAUUAUCUAAAUGAUGAUAUAAAUAUCUUUCCCAUUUAAUUAGUCGGAGAAAGAAAACACGAUCAGGCUGAGUAAGGAACUUGAGGAUAAGACCCGCAAGCUGAGGUAAUUAUAAUUUAUCGAUUUGUUUGUAAGAUAUAUGGUGGUUAAUUAGGCUGGUAUGAUCGUUUGACAAGUCUGCUGAAACUGGUUUGGCAUGCAAAAGGCAUAUGAAGGGUGAGGACCUUCAAGACUUGGAUCUGGAUCAACUGAACAAGUUAGAAAAAUUGGUGGAAGUAAGCAUUGGCCGUGUAAUAAAAACUAAGGUAUUGCUUAACACUGAGGCUUAAUACAUAUUAUUGUGCAAUGAUCCGGAAGAUUUAUUACUUAAUUAGUCAUUGUUUAAAUAUUGUUCUUGGAAAGAAUAAGACAAAUAUCUUAAUUUUGUUCAAAUAAGAAAUUUGUUAUUAACACUCCAUAAAAUAAUAUUGCACUUCCUCCUCUUAACUUUUUGCCCUAUGCUUGAGUGAGCUAUGACCGAGCUUAAUCAAAUAAAUAGAUCAGCACAUUGUGCCUCAUAUACACCUUUUUAAUCAAAAGAGUAAUGCUAGGUAGACUGAAUUUUAUACUUAAAUUUGCAAAUUAAAUGAUGUGUCGUCAAUAAGAAAUAAACACGUUAAUCAAUACUUAAGUAAGUGAUUUAGUUUACAAUAUUUAGUCUUCCUAACAUUACCCUAAUAAAAAAGUCAACAAGUUUCUAAUCUGACUAUUCUUUUGCAGGCGUAUCUUUCAAAUUUAGACUUUGGUCAAAUUGAAUGUAGACUUGACCAUUUCUUUUCCGUACUUUACUUAGGUUAUUUUACUAAAGAAAUAUUUUGGAUUAUAUAUGUUUAUAUAGCAACAUCUAAUUCCAAAUUUCCCAUUUAUUUCAGGAAAAAAAGAUAAUGAGUGAGAUUAUGGCACUUACGAACAAGGUUUGUAAUUAAAUAGAUGAUUGUUGUCUGUGUCUAUUUAUGGAAUAGCUACAAAUAUAUACAAAUAGUCCAGAAUUUCCCGAAAAGAAUAAUAGUAAACAUUAAUGAAUUAUUAAUGAAUUUUUGCUUUGUUGUCCUCUUCUAUGCCCUGAUUAUACAUGCAGGGAGCUGAGCUUAUAGAAGCUAACAACCAACUAAAGCAGAGGGUAAGAAACUACCACCAUUUAUAUUUUUUCUUCUAUUUUAUUUUUAUUUAAUGAAAGUAAUAAAUCUUAAUUAAAAAUUAAAUUUGGGCGAUCUUUUUCUUUGUUGUUUUUGCUUGGCAGUUGGUGAUGUUAUCCGCUGGAGGAGAUAUCGAACCGGCGGCGAUCAUGGAGUUGGAAAACCUGAAUAAUGUUGGAGAAGAAGGCAUGACAUCUGAAUCAGCCACAAAUGUCACCGCCUGCUCCAGCAGUGCUCUUUCUCUCGAAGAUGACUGCUCCGACAUCUUGUCUCUCAAACUGGGGUGAGCCGCUUGCUAAUAUAUAUGCUAUUUGCUGGUGGCUUUUGCUUUUGACUUUUGGAUUGUGCUUAUUUGAUGAUACGACGAAGAAUAAAGGUAGUAAAAUACUAGUCCAUCUCCUUCGUGGCACGAUCUUGUUUUCAAAGAUAGCAGUGGGGUUGCCACGCCUUCGUUGCCGUUGAGUUUUGAUGUAGGUUUUUUGUUUUGUUUUUAGCCUGUGAUUAGCUCAAGUGCUCAUCUGGGCUAUGCUAUUUUUUCCUUUCUCCUGUACCUCAUGUUUCUUUGGGCCGUUUGGCUCCUUUCCUCAGCGUAUCACAAAUUCAUGAUGUUCGUUAAGUAUAAUUGUACCGCUAUGAUGCUUUUAUUCUUCAACAUCUUCAAUGAAGUUGCUAAUCGGUUUUUGUAUUCGGUAUUUUCAGGCUUCCUUAGUUUCUCUGGUUAAGAGGUGGAGACAGGUGGAGAGUUGCACUUCCUUAUAAUUUCUAAAUAAAGUCGAGUUAUUGUAACAUACGAGUGAUCUAUGUGUCUUCACUCGAAAACAAAUUGGAAGACAUCUCUGGGGAAGUACUGUGACUGUGUGUUAUAUGUAAAACUGUAUUUGUAUUCCAUGCAAAGCAUGACAUUGAUCUAGAAUAUAACUUGUAUUGUAUACAAAGCUUUAUGCAAAUGCAGGCCUAUGAAUUUGGACUCUAAUUCAGUUUUGUCUUGUUUUGUGGAUUUGUUGGGGAUGGCUAAAAGUUAUUAUGUUUUGUAAUUAUGCUUAAAUAUUCAUUUCUGCCUUAAAGGUUGGGGACUUAGACCGAAAAUCGAACCCCAAAAAUUAAAAAUUAAAUAAAGGGGUUUUUAAAUAUGAAUCCAGUUUUAUAAGGCUGAUUUGAAAGGAGUCCACUAGUGUUAAAUCAUCCUAGUUGGGGUCUACUAAGAGAUUAUAUCUCCAUGUUAAUUAUUUAUGUCCAUAAGUUUUACAUGAAUUUCAGUACUUAUCACUGUAUAGUAUUUGAAAUGAAUUUACCAAAUUCCAACGAUUUUUAGGGCGUUAAGUUUUUACACGUUUCUCCAAACCCUUAUCUCGUCGAUUCCAAUGAUUUUGAAAAGAACCAAAAUCUUCCUAAUUCAUGCGUUGUAUUAUGAGAUAUAUAUGAUUCCUACAACAAUCAAUGCAUGCAUGAGUUUGGGUUUUAAAUACGUGUGAAUUAGAGUUUGUGGGUUUCUGUAGAACAGGUAGCUUAUGUUCAAUGUUCAAUGUUCAUUUUUUGUUGAUUCUUAGUUGUUGUUGAUUCUUAGUUGUUGUUGUUGUUUAUAUUUAGGGGUGGAAUGAAAUUAAACUACCUAUGUGAACUGAAUUUUCCAUCUAUUUAUGUACUUGAAUGGGUGAAAGGUUGGUGUUUUUCUUUGAUUGUAACUGAUUCGUUGUUGUCUACCUACAUGUGUGGAAUGAAAACAGCAAAUAAAAAUGAAAAAUUCAAGUACCUAGAAAAUUAAUAAAAAGGGAUAGUUAAUUUAAUACUGAUAUUAGGUAACUUAUAUUGUAGGCUUUGUUAAUUUUAUUUUUUCAAUGUGUGUUUGAAAUUUUUGUGGAAUUUUUAAAGUUUAUAACAACUAAUGUAAUUUAUAUUGUUCAUGUAUUUGUAUUGUGUAGAGUUGGCCAAUUUGAAUUCAAGUAUCGCCUCUCUUACUCUUAAUCCACAACCACAACAAGUUUCAAGGCAAUCUCAAACUUCUAGUUCAGAAGGUCUAUUGGCUUCUCAUCCAUCAAUUUCACUUUCACAAGGUCCAAGGUCUUCUCAAGUACCGCCUUCUCAAGCUUGUUCACAAGCUCAAAGACAUCCUCAACCUUCGAAAAGUAAAUUUCCAAAAGGAGAGGGAAAGAGAGGGUUGAACAAUGUAAAGUAGUGACUUAAAAAUUGAAGCACCAAAACCUUUUUGUUGAACAGUAUGAAACAAUUUAUUUUUUUGGGUUAUACUACUAAUGCCACAAGGCAUUUUGAUGUUGAAAUUUGUUUAAACUUUAGUUUUAGAACUUAACCUUUUCAAUUGAGUUUUUCCUAAAGUAAUGCCAUAAGGCCCUUUGAUGUUGAACUUUAUUUGAAGUUGAAUUUUAGCUUUGUGAUCAUGAAUUUCUUUUCAAAUUUGGAAAUGGUAUAAAAUUGAAACCAAAACCAUUUGAAAUUGAACUGAACUGCAACUAAAUGGUUUGGUUCUAUUUAUGUUCAAGCUUCAAAAUCGCAUCAAACCACACAUCAAAAGAAUUCGAUUUUGGUUUUGAUUUCAACCUAGAAUCUCACCAAACCAAACUGUGUCAACCUCUAAAACAAAUUUGAGUCUUAUUUUGCACCCAAAAAGUUGAUAUUCAACCUCCCCUGAGACUUACAUAUGUGUUUCAUUUUGCCUUGUUUUUCUCAACAUCAUCCAAGAUCAACCAAUAGCAUAUGUGAUAAGGUUAUUAUGGUUAUCUUGACCAUGUUGUCUAUGUGUGGUCCUUUUUCGCGACACAUAAUUAUUGAGUUCACAUCUUUCCUAAUGCGAAAAUAGUUAUUUUUAAGAAUGUGAUUAUAUAAAUGUAAACAUAGAACCUUAUAGAAUAUAGAAGUUCUUAUCAUAUUGUGGCUAAUUUUGACUAUGUUGUCAAUAAUUUGUCUGUCUAUCUCUUCAGUGUAGUCAAGAAGCCCAACUAGUUUAUCAGGGAGUAUACUCGGCACUUCCUUACUAAAAAAGCCAAGAUUAUCGGUUAAGACAAAACAGUCGCUUGGACAGCUUUAAAGAAAGGACUGCCAAUAGAUCAUCUACUCCGAGGAGACAUUAUCAUGAUUGUGGGCCAUGAUUUUCCAGGACCGGAGUAAGACGAAUCCGAAUAUGCCAACCUCAGGAGUUUGGUCAUGGACUCAACAAUCUCCAUUAGGAGUUGACUAAAUGGAUUAGCGAUGCCACCGUCAUCAUGUUCCGGAAUCAUUGGGUGAAGUUGAUGUUCGUCGACUUCGCUAAGAUAGACCAUUCUUGUACCGCAAGAUUCGAGAACCCAAUCCAAUAAGGAAUCAACAGGUUUCCUAUAAUCUUGGAGUUAUUAUAAUCAAAGGAUUGGCAUGCGCCGCAAGUAAUCAAACUCCCAGGAGGAUGCAAUAUCUACUUCCUAGAUAUCCUAUGGGAUUCUGCAGGUUUAAUACGGAUUCUACUAUGCUAAAAUGUUAUCUCCUCGACUGGUAUAAAUACACCCUUCUAGGGUUCAUCUCUGGUAACGCAAUCUAUGCAUACUUAUUCUCUUACCUACUACUUGAGUCUUAAUAUUGCUUACAACCUUGAGCGCAUGGAUGGAACUCCGAUCACCAAGCGGUGGAACAUCACCAAGCUCAGACGAUACUAUGCCUAACACGUUGCCGUCUACGCGUAUACAAGUCCCUGGAGAACUCAUUUCUGUAUCGCCUCACCAUAGGCUAUUCAUCAAAGAAUGGUCCAAUGAAAAUUUUUUACAUUGUACCAUCUUUCUUGAACUACACCAAUAAUUUGGUUCCCUUUUCCGAGAAUAUGUAGGCAAUCCUUUUCGGAUUCAAUCACACCCCUUUGUCAACAUAAGUCUUUUUUCAAUAAAAGAAUUCUCAGAGUUUUUAUUUUUAUCUUUAUUCUCAGAGUUAUGAUACGCACUUGUUCGUUCUUUUUUUUUUUUUUUUUUUUUUUUUGCGGUAGUGAAAAUACCUAAAAAGCCCAAAUAACACAAAACUUUGAAACUUCGCGUAUUGUUCAGUUAGCAAUUUGGGAGACUCGAAGCGUAACAAGUGUGGUUACGAUUAGCGGGUAACGGGCAUGGGGACAUGUCACAUAACCCCUUGAUUUGGAACUCCAGUGCACCAUCCAACUCUUGAAAAAGAUUAUGCAACCUGAAGGUUGUGGGUUAUGAGUUAUAACAUUCAAAUCUAUGCUCUAUGCAUUCGAGGGAAUGAAUGUAAAGGCGAUCCGAGAAUAAUCUGAAGGGUGGCUCUGAGUCCCAACCCUGAGUACGAUCACUCUUAUCCUAAACCAGCGUACUAAGCCAAGUAAGUUUUGCAACACCAUAUAUGUUAAGCAGGUCUGAAUGAGGCAUUUGGAAUAGGAAGUCCUCAAGAGGAAUUUUAUUCCAAUAGAGCUCCGAUACACGGAAGUGCCUUAGCCAAGCCAACUAAGUGUAGUCUGGUCGGAAACACUCUGGUCUGGUGCACAGGGUCUGACAAAAGGAUUUGAAAAGUGUUUUCAAUCCACAUGUAGGUGACCAAGUCCCUGACGAACUUUUGUUUAAUAUUCACUAAGGACAAACCAGCAAUCAGGACUGAGUAGGAAACCUUUUCUGAGUUAUAGGCAUAUCUAAAAUCCUCUAACCCAAAACAGGGCAAGGUCAACGAACAAGACAACAUAUUGAGAAAGGAACACUUAUUUGACUUUGAACUCUGGAGGUCAUUCUGGGUAAGACUUAUCACUUUUUCGUCUUUAAUUCGACAAAUACAUUAUGAAAAAUAUAUAGUAAAAGGAUUUUUCAUGGGCAUUAGACCCGGUGUCGGAGUAAGGUGGUACUCCUAAUCGCAGUGGGAAUCUUCAUGGAUACCAAGUUUGAGAGGUAACAUUUUUCCGAAUCAAUGUUACCUAGGGGGCUUUUGAGCUCUAUCUGGGGCCUACAAGCUUGCUCAUAUUCUAUUAUAUUACAUAUUACUUCGAAGUUAAAUUACUUUGAAGAAAUUUGUCGGAUUACCAGAUUAUUCCAUGAUUGGGAAGCAAGGGAUGGAAAAAUUUCCAACAUUUUAUUCAAAUAGGAUAAAUGGCAUGAAUAAAAUUGCAAGUGUUUAUAACGUGUAAAUACAUGUUUGUUAUAAAGUCUCAUGAACAGGGCAAAAAAGUUAUAAUUACUUGGGGGAGACAAGCCCUUACACCUAACAUGCAAAUUUUCAUAUGGAAGCUAUAAAACAGAUUUGGCCAGGACCAUUAACUCUGAUGAAGUUCAGUCGUCGUCAGAAAACGCCAAUGAAGUUCAGUCGUUGACAAAGAUAAAUAUGGCUAAGGUUCAAAGAGAGAACUGGGUUUGGAAUGUAAGGCAUGAAAUAGAAAAGGAGGUUUCAUGAUGAAAACUAAAGGCUAAGCUGGAGGAAAAAUCACGGUUACAUGUUCAUCAUUGUUGCCUCUCCUUCUCAAUAUUCAAGAUCGCACAACUGAAUCUGGAACGUCAAAAGUUCACAAGAAACGAAGUUGAGACUCCACGCUCUGAAGGAAGAAAACGGUACGUAUUCCGACUUAUUCUGAAAGGCUUGGUCUCUAAGUAACUACCCAUUUUUAAGGGGAACCAGUCAUUUUUUAUGCCUAGAUAGGGGCAAUUAUGGACCAUAAUUUUCUAGGGGUGAAGUAAGACGGAUCAGAAUACGCCUACUUCACAAGUCUGAUGACGGACUCAACAGCCUCCAUUGCAAAGUUGGCUAAACAGAUCAACGAUGCCACCAUCAUCCUGUUCCGGAGUAAGUGGGCAAAGUCUGUCGACCUUGUUGAGAUAUACCAUUUUGUUCCGCAAGAUUCGGAAACUAAUCCAACAAGGAAUCUACAAGUUUCCUAUAAUCUUGGAGUCCUUACAAUCUAAGAAUUGGCAUGUGAUAAUCAAUCUUAAGAGGAUGCAAUAUUAGAUAUCCUCUGGGAUUCUUUCGAUUUAAUAUGGAUUCUACUAUCCUAAAAGCUCAUCUCUUCCACUAGUAGAAAUACACCUUUUAGGGUUUUUAUCUGGUUACGCAAUAUCUACAUACUUGUUCUCUUGCCUAUUGCUUGAGUUUAAUAUUGCUUACUAACUUGACUGUCAAAGAGCCUUUAACCGGUUCAUCCCCUCCCGGUCCUAGGCUUACUUGCGGUUGUUUGUUCUUUUACAUGUUAACAAGUUUGGGUAUAAAUUCUACCGGUCACUCUUGAAGAUGCAGAGAACCUCACCAUUCAGCAAGAUUAAAUCAAAGCUUUUUUUUUCAGACGAAUAAAUUCACUAACAUUUUAGAUCAAAAGCGUCAUAUUACCUAACUGUUCAACUCUAAAUACAUCCCACAUACCUCAUAUGGACAGACCAUUCAAGUCAAAUAACUAUCAAAAUACUUGCAAAAAGAGAAUUGGUGGCCUCACGACUUUCAGUCUUCAACAAGGCUUCUUGUGACACAUUUAUCCCCUUCAACUGGAGGUGUAAGCCGCAGCCUUUUUGCAGCGCGUUGCUCUAGCGACUCGGGUAUCAGACCAUCGUCAGGCGUUGGUCCAUCGGAAAUUUGAACAUCAUCAUCACAUGAGACUGUCCUGUUGUCUACCAUAUCGGAGUCUUGAUCCAUUUGUACAUCGGGAUUUUCUUGGCACGAGGGAAUUGGAGCCGCUUCCUGCACCAUACCAUGGUGUUCAGAAGCUCCAUUUCUGUUGCCAUCUUGCACCUUAUCAUGGUCCUGAAAGCCUCCAUUUUCGUUGCCAUCCUGCACCUCAUCAUGGUCUUCAGAAGCUCCAUUUUCGUAGCCAUCAAGCACCUUAUCAUGGUCAUGAGAGCCUCCAAUUUCGUUGCCAUCCUGCACCUUAUCAUGGUCUUGAGAAGCUCCAUUUACGUUGACAGCAUGCACCUUAUCAUGGUCUUGAAAACCUGUAGUUUUGUUGCCAUGAUGCAAUCUAUCAUGGUCUUGAGAACCUCUAUUUUCAUUGGCAUCCAGCACUAUAUCAUGGUCUUGGGAACCUCCAUUUUUGCCAUCACGCACCUUACCAUGGUCUUCAGAACCUCCAUUUUUGUUGCCAUCAUGCACCUUAUAAUGGUCUUGACAACUUCCGUUGCCAUCAUGGAAAGCAUCAUGGUCUUGAGAAUCUCCAUUUUCAUUCCAGUCAUGCACAUGAUCUUGAGAACCUUCUAAUUCUAUAAUGGAAGCGUCCUGCAUCUUGCUUGGAGCAGAAACAAGGACAUCUAUUAAACAUGUGACGUUUUCCACAAAAUGAGAAUGGUUUACAUCCAUUUCUUCUUUCUGACUCGAACCCAAACCUUCCCCAACUGAAUGGUUCUCAAUGCUAUAUAUUCAGAUUGGUCAGAGACACACAUUGAUAGUUUAGGGGAUGAAUCAGUGUUUCCAUUUUCCGCUUGCGCCAAGUUAAAGUCAGUCUCAACGCCAUAAGCUCUUGAUGUAUGCUCAAUGUCACAAGUUUGAGAUGUAAUUCCAGUUAUUUGCUGAAAACCAGAGUCUCCUGUAGGCAUAAAAGCGAACUGCUCUCCAGUUUUGGUGUCGUCCUGUAAUGAAACAAAAGGUAAGUGCAAGUAUUGUGCUCUCUUAAACGAAACUACGUAAAAUGAUCCAUUUAUAAUACAUUUUUUGUCCUAUAUAGUUCUCUGCCCAUAAAGGAACCACCCCCCCAAAAAAAAAACAAAAAAAAAAAAAGGGUGUACCAGCCUGCAUCACAGGUCUACAUAAAUCUGCGACUUUUAAAUAAUGAUAGAAAUGAUUCUCAAAGCAUUUACUGGCUAAAAGAAAAUUAAAAUGAGAGAUUGAAUUGAAAAUCGGUGAGUAAUGGUUUUUGAACUUGUGACAAUGUGGACCAAUAGUCCAUUUGGGUAACUCCAUUAGAACUUCCCUACCUUAAUUGCACUUUAAAUGUUUUAGUUUGAAGGGAAAUUUUAACGAAGUUACCCAAAAGGACCAUUGCUCCACGUUGUAACAUGUUUAGGGACAAAUACAAACAGAUUUUUAGUUUGGGGACCAAAGCUCCAAUUAGGGACCAAUACUCCAAUUUCUCUUUUAAAAAAAAAGGACUAUCAUUUAAAAGUAAUUUUUAAGCAAAACGUAAAAACAGAACCUAUAACAUGGCCCUUCCAAUACCUCUCUCCCAAACACACACAUGAACUAAAAAGCAACACCCAAAAGAACUCCAAAACAGCGCAAAAGCCAACAUUAAUCAUGCUCAUGCUUUUCAAUCCCAACUAUCUAAUAGUAAGAACGAAUAUUGUUCCCAACAGAACAAGAAUAAAUAAUGUUACCUCCAUCGGUGAUAUAGCUCCAUUAAGACGGUAAAAAGAUGAUUUUUGGUCAAAUGAUUGAUAUUCUCCAUAGAGUGAGCCGGGGGUGGCUCCUGGCUCUAAAAGUUCCUGGAGAACCAAGCCUGCAUCAUUAACACACUCAGAACUCCUUAGAGAAGAUGAGGAUAAUAGAGUGAUUUCAAUUCCCUGGCCUGCUUGAGAACUUGACAUAUUUUCUUGGCAAGCUACAGCAGGACCACAUCUUCCUGAAAAAGACUGCACACCAGUUUCAUGCUUGUUACAUUCUGGAAACUUAGCCUGGUCUUCAUCACUGGAAGCUGCUGAAGAGAGUCCCCGACAACGAUCUUCAAGUAGCUCAAAAAUUAACCUUUGAAUAAGGGUACGCUUGAGAGAUGCCUCGGACGGAAGAAACCAAUUUGCAUUAAGCUGGCAACAGAAAUUGUGAUUAUGCAUAACAAAAAUUUGAAACAUAAAGCUUGCAAUUAAAUUACAGGAGGAUCAUAAUUAAAAGGAAACAAGAAAUAAUGGGGAAAAGGUACGAGUUUUAUGCACAGAAACCCCAUUUAAAGUCCCAACAUUUGUAUCUAAAAUCUGAUUCUGUCCCAAUUCAUUGUUAGGCAACAGAACUGAAAGACUUUCUAUUUGAGAAAAAGAAAAUCCUAGAAUCUUCAGAUGUGAUGCAUGCUAGAAACUGUAAAUCAACAUACUAACAUAGAUACGCAUAUAGAAGUAUUCUAACACUUCGCAUUAAGGACUUUUGAGAAUUCAAAUAUCCAAUAAGUAAUUGUUGAUAUGUUUUAACGUUUCAUCCAUCAAUUAAUAGGAAAACAUGCAAUGCUUAAAGUAUGAUAUCUUAGUUGGUUUUCAUGCAGCAGUUAAUAGAAAGCAAUGUUUUAAAAAACUAGUAUUGAGACUAGCCUAAGCGAUUUCAUGGGUGGGGUUAUCAAGAAAACGCCUCUGCCCAGCGGAAGUGGGUUAUAGACUACCCUAGGCGCCACCUGGGAGUUUGAAUUUUUUAUUUUUUUUAAAAGCCCAAACCCAAAACGACGUCAUUUUGGGCAGGUUUUUUUUAUAAAAUUCAUGCUAAUUUUAUGUUUCUUAGUUUCUAAUAGUUUAUUAUGACUUUAUGAUGCGAAUUAGAGAAAUAAUAAUAAUAGUCAAAUAUUUGAUUGCUUGCCAUGCUUGCUUGAUUGUUUUACAAAGUAUUAUAUUUUAUAUAUAGGAAGUAUUAUAAUAAUUUUAGGUAACGUGAGGCGAUAGCCUUACGCCUAUCGCCUAGGCAAGGCUAUCCAUGAAACGCCUUGGCUUCGCCCCUUCACCUUUGCCUUUUAAAACAUUGAGAGAAAGUAAGUGCUCUCCUUUAAACCAUGACAUUUACAUCCAAUGACUUUGAAUGUGCUAUGUUUCCUCUUAAAUUGCUCGGUGAUUGGACACUCCUCCAUAUAUAUGUUAUAAAGUAAUAAUACAAACGAACAAGAGAAGAACAAUACUUGAUUUUCACCCCAAUGGCUUCAAUCAAGCAUUCACAAGCAUCACCCUAAUUUAUAAACACUGUAAUUAUGUUUUCAAUAAGAAAAAACAAAAGUAUGAACACAACCAGGUGGUGGGCAGUACAAUUUAGAAGUUAAAGAUGUUAGGGCUGCGUAUCAGAUAUAUAAAAUUCACAUGCCACAUCAAGGAUUUCAACAAGGUAAACGGUAGAAUUUAAAGACUUAGUGAAACUAAGGAAAAACAAAAGACAAAGUAGACCACUUACAAAGUUGGAAAACUUGGUUAUUUUGAAAGGGCUGAAAUGAACAGGAGCUUCUGCCAAAAAGAGCUCCAAAUAGUGGAGUAAAAACAGGCCACAAUCGAACGAAUUUUCCUGUUGCGGUAGCUAAUAAGAACACGUACCAGUGUCAGAAGUUCUAACAUUUUACCAUCAGGAAAAACUAUUCAACACUUCUUUAUCUAAAACCACAAAAAAAAUGAGGGAGCGAAAGAUAAAACUUUAUAGUGACAAAAAUAUGUCAUGUAAUUGUACAAAGAGAGCAUACAUCUAUUGCAGGAGCUCAAAGACAGAAUGAUCACAAAUGAAGAUGCACAUGUGCAAGCUAUUCCAUUGAAUCCAUUCAUCUGAUAUAUAUUUAUAAAAGAUUUAGGCCAAAAGGGAAAGAACAUUUUAGUAGUUUUUAUAGUUACAAAACAAUCAAUUUGCCGUACUGCAUCUAGAACUUAACCUAUAAUGACUUAGUGCAUAUCUUGAAUACCAGACUAUCAUACUAAUUCGACCCCGUAAAUAUAAAAGACAAUCUUAAUAUCCACAAAUUUCUUUGUAUAUUCUUCUUUUUAUAUUAAAAAAAAAGGUGGUUUCAAGAUAGUAAUGCCCUUCACUUAGAAAACAACUUCCAUGGAACGAGUACACCGCCACCUGGCGUCCCGUGCCAAUGAAGCAAGGACAUUUGGACAAAAAUUUACCCAAGUAGUAGCAGUUUUUAUUAAGACAAGAAGGGUAGCAUUUAUAUAUGAUACUUCAAAUUAUCUCUACCCCACAGUGUCCUAUGAAAUCAUUCUUCCAUGUGGCCUAUGAAAUCACAAGGGUAGUAAGCAUACACAACAAUAUGAUCAUAAGAAUACAAUAUGCCCAUAUAAUACAGAUUUUUAUUGUUUCCCCUCUCUAAAACUGUUACAUACGACUGGAGCAAUACCUCAAGUGAGACAAAUCGCAGGUUGUGAAACUUUGAUGAGAUUUCUUCAGAUGUCUCCUUUUUCCUUUCUUUCCACUCUUCCCACAGAUAACUAUCAUUUCAAGAUCAAACUUUGAUGUCACAAUUUAGAAUAUCUAAGUUCUGAAGUUGUAUUAAAGAGUGCAUAUGCCAUUCAAAACCCCCAAGUACUGAGUACCCUAUUCCAAGAUCAAACCAUCAAACACAAACAUAAAAUAUCCCAUAUUAUCCCAUAAAGGUCGUACCCAGUGCACAAGGCUCCCGCUUUACGCAAGGUCUGGGAGAGGUGAAUGUCGGCUAGCCUUACCCCCAUUUUAUGGAGAGGCUGCUCCCAAGUCUCGAACCCGAGACCUACCGCUCAUGGACGAAGGCACUUGCCAUCGCACCAAGUGCGACCUCUAUCCCAUAUUAUCCCAUAAAAUAGAAAAAUAUGUCUACUGACUUGAGAAUUGUCCAAGUGUCUCCUUCCCCCUCCCAACAAAAAAAAAGAAACUUCAACCUAACCUAAUGCUUGUAUUAAUAUCCAAUGGUUAUAUCGCAAUAGCCAGACUGUUACUAAUAUCAUCAAGUUUUCAUAAAAAGAACAUCAAGAGUCGAGCAUGAGCGAUUAGAAGUAAUAAAAAAAAUUAACUUUAACAGCUAAUAGAUACCUUUGAAUUAGAUUUUUCAGACCCGUAUGACUUCCUUUGAUAGAAUCCAUGUGUAAAAUACAAGGUACUUUACGUGAAUUUCCUGAUUCUCCAUCUGAACAUGGAAAAAGUAUAUAAAUGACAGGAUGAAGAAGAGAUGAGAUGCACAUUGCGCAAUCAAGGAGAAACUUACCAUUAUGUUUAGGCACUUCACCAAGAUGGCAUAUGACUAUUAGGCUCCAGUGUAGACUGACAAUUAAAGCACAAAAGCUACGUAUCAGCACCCCAGUAAAUUGAGCUUAUUACAAAGGCAAAAAGUUUGGUCAAAGGAUCAUACUUGAAGUUUAUAGGAAUGAAGAUGUAAUCCCUUUCAAAUAAAUCCACUUUCCUCGUCCAUUUACGAACUCGUUGAAAAGCAGCUCUGCCAUCGGAAACACUGGAUGGAUCUUUGUCCAGGUCAGCCAGCUUCCGAAAGAAAAAACUAUUGAAAAAGUGGAACCUAUGCCUUUUCUCAGGCUGAAUCUGAUUCUUCAGAUACCUGUCAAUAGAGUAUAUUUUAACAGGUGAAUUAUAAAAUUUUCAAAACCUACAAUCACAUUAAGUGCUAAUAAAGGCAAUAGCAAUUAGCAUUAGCCUUGUCGGAGGUUAGCAUCAUCUUUUGGUAAUUAACAAAUAUUAUUUAUUACAUUUUCAAACGCUGUCUCAAACUUCAAAGGAUUAGUAUUUCAAUGAUCUUAUAUCAUUACAUGAUGUACUCUCAUUAUCAUGUCUUUAAAUUCAUUAGCAGUUCAUAAAUUGAAGAAUCGUCCAAAUUAACAGUUUCUCAACGCUUUCAUCUACGAUUUCGGUGAUUAUAUAUCAACUUACUUGAAAUAUAUUAUUUAUUUAUAUACUCAGGUAAAAAAAGGUCUAGCAAUUUAAAAGUUCCUAAAACACAAGCCCAAGGGUUUCGUUGAGGAUAGUGAGGAUAUUGAUGGUAGAGAAGAUUGAUCCAGUGUAGGACUAACCAGAUGAAAGAAUGACAAAGUAAAGAUAAAUUUGGGAAAUUACGGGCCAGUUUGAUAACCAUUUCAUUUUUUGUUUAUAGGAUUCAUAUUUUCUUCAUAAAGAUAGAGGAAAUCUCUAUGGAGGAACGAGGAAUAAAGAAGGAUGGAUGAAGGGUAGAGGAAAAAGUAAGUAGCAAUAAUUAGAAAAGAAAACCUACUUAAAAUUGUUUUCAGUUUUCGGUUUUUGAUUUGUGUACUUUGUUCCACUUUUUUCCAACCAUCCUUCCUCCAGCUUUGCUCUUACCAUUUUUCCCCUGUAUUUCACCUAUAUUCCUAACAAAUAAAAAAAGAAAACUAAAACCUGAAAAUAAAAAUGUUAUCAAACGGGCCAAGUUGCUCAACUUUGUAAAAUUGCUGACCCCUAACAACGAAAUGAUUAUUAGUAUGUGAUUAUUGGUACUUUUUUAUAUUAAGGUAUGCAAGAGUCACUUGAACACAUAUAAAUACGAAAUUAGCUUUAUUUAUUAGUAAAAUCAUGAAUUUAUCAGUGGUUACAUUUUCCCUUUUGAAUGAUUAAGAAGAACUAAGCAAUUAAAAAAAAUUCUAUACAAAACAAUGUACUUUAAUGGACACACUUGGUUCUCAUAUCUCCUGUUUGAGACCAAGGAAAGGGAUGUUACCUCCCAACAUUUUUAAUUUCUUUUGACCUUAAAACUCUUAUUAAUAAAACUGACAAAACCAAGUCCCAGAUAAUGAUAGCUGUGCAUAAUGGAACUAAGUAUUUAGAAUCCCAAAACAUGCAAGUCUUUAAUAUAAAGAGUAUAAAUUAUGCAUGUGAGGUUAUCCACGCAAGCUUACUUGAUAUAGAAGUCAAUAAUUGUAUCAUUAAUAAAUGUCUCUGGCUGUAAGAGAUCAACAUCUCUCUUGCUGAUGGAAACAGCAUCUGAGUCCCCUUUCGGAUAUACAACAUCUUCAAAAGGCUCAUCAAAACUGUAUAGCAUCUCAAAUAUGUUUAGAAAACAUCAUAAAACAACACUGAGAAAGAAAUAGAAACUGAACUGUAAACCAAAUCAAUCAUGUUCAUUUUCAUAGAACCAAACAAGUAUUCUACCAUUUGGUAUAUUACUAAGCAACAUAAACACAAACAGUUUCGACCAGAGCCAAACUCCCUAAAUACUUAAUAGUUUUACGGGCAAUAACAAAGGGACCACAUAAAUUGAUUCUGCGUCUCUUUAAAUUGAUCCUUCUUCCGUUUGUUGUAUGAGUUAAAGAGAAAUGGAAAAACUAAAUGACUGUUUAGCCGAUGAUGGAUUUUGGGCCACAGGUAUGAGUUAAGCAAAAAAAGCAUACGUCCACAUUACAUACAGAAAUAAUUUAAUAAUUCUUUACACUUGAAAAACAAAUCCCAUAAAUUCAAAGUGAUCAAGAAAGCCUUACAAAUGGAUUAUGUGAUACCGAGGAACAAAGAGUUCAAAACCUUAUCCAAUCCUCACCAUUUAAGAGAGAAAAGAAAAAAAAAUACUAGAAAGCGUAACAACUGUAAACAACUAAAGAACUCAAAAUGACAGAACAAAGAAUCUGAAAACAAAGAAAGGAAAAGGAAGGUUAAGGAAACAUCAUUUAACUACUAAUAAUACAGAAAGGAAUAUAAUUUGUGUCAUCAUAGUUACAGAGAAAAGGAACUAGGACCACUUUAACUCACUUCGGAAAAUGAUGCCUCUGCCCAAUUGAAUCGUCCUCAUCUGUUUCCAUGCCCAUGCUACUUGUAUCAAAAUGGGAAAAAAUAUAAAUUUAAGAUUGUGCAGUACUACUGAAGUAAAAUGAAUUGAUACAACAAUACACCAUACACAGAACUAGUACAUAUUUACAGUUGUGGCAAAUAAUUCACCAAGGAAAAAUACAUUGUGAAUCCAAACAAUUACCUUGCAUUUCUAAGCUAGAUAUAUGUGAAUGAACUAACAAAAAUGUACGGUUGAACCAUUCCUUUUUUAUUCUUUUCAAAAGUAUGGUCGAACCAUUCUAAUUUGCAAACCACUAAAAACACACGCAAUACUUAUCACCACAGCAGUACAUCAUCCCUGUAAAGAGGAAAACCAACUGGACACUAUGCCCGGCCCACAGCAACACAGCAGCAUGGUUGAACAGAUACCGUAUAAAUUAAAUGCAUACAAACUCAGCACUAAUAUAAAUAGAGAACAUAGCUAUAAACCAAGAGCCUUAAAACUAAUAGAUUUAAUGUUUACUGGGUUUUUUCAGCACCAAUUCUUAUAAUAAAAACGCAAGCUGGAUGGUUCACUUCACACUAUUACUUCGAAGUUCUAAAUUCAAGAGUGGACAUCAGAUGUCUCUCACAGCAAUCCCUUUUGCUACUGAACUAUGUAUCCCCUUAAAUCUGUCAUUGUAAUCCCCCAAAAUGCCAUUUAGUUCAUUUCAUCCUAACACUAAGCCUUUGAAAACACAAAAAAGGAAUUUAUGAUCUUGAUGAGAUUGAAUUUCAUUGCACUGACAAAGUGUAAUUCUUAAAACAGAUUAAAUUGACCAUUUCUUGGAUAUUUAGAUAAGUUGUCUCUAAUUUGUGUAUGUUUGUGGCUAUACUUUUGUCAAUGUUGGUACAAAUGAGAGUAAAGAGAAAAUAUGGAACUUUAAAUCUAGUUAAGACUAUAAAAAGCAUAUCCAACGUAUUAAAUUACAGUAAUCAAACAUCAUGUGCAGAAUUGAAAGCCUGAAACUAGGAUUCCUAAACACAUAAUAUCCUAGUCUAUCUGAAGUAAUGAAAGCAUAGUGUCCAAUGCUGUCCUUUUAUAAAAUUAUUAAAUAUUGCUUUUCUACACAAAAAGAAAAAGGAAUUACCAAAAAGAAACAUGUUGUCAUUUCAUUUCCAACAUUCAACACAAAUAUAAUUACAGUCAUACACCACAUAAUUAGAUAGAAAAAGAAGUAGUAUUAUUAAGAGUAUAGGCCAUCAAAUUAUACAGCUACUUGGCAUAAAGCUUUGAACAUCAAGAAAUACAAAUUACAUUUUGUAUUAACCAAUGAAACAUAAACAAACUUACUCAUGCAAAACCCAUGAAUUGAUAUAUUUUGCAUUCAAAGACAUUAUCCUUUGUUGUUGCUCGAACCAGUUGGGUUCAACACUUGCAAUCUUCAACUCUUCAGUGCCUAGGAGAAGUUUAGGUAGCAGAUAAUGCCAGAAAAAAAAAAGAGAGAAGCCACACUCAGCUUAAGAGUUUCAAGUCCCAAAAGGAAAAUAAAACUAGUUGGGACAGAAUUUAACCCACACACUGUUCAAAAAAAGGAUUAAAAAUCUAGAACUUUAUUUUCUUUUCUGAAUUACAAAGAAGCACAGAUUCUCAUAUGACACAUACUACUUGCUAAAAGUAAUCUGCAGUGUUGAAAGAUGCCUCAUUAAUACUUGGAUUACAAAGUACUGGUCUAUUUUACUUAUAACACUUGGGUCACAAAUAUUUUCCAGUCACACAUAUGACUACAUAGAGUGUGUCCUCACCAUAAGACUUUCUAUAUAAUGUAUACACAACCUUUAACCAGAAACCCUCUUUAUCAGUGUCCUAGCUUCAUAGCUCAAACAUCAUAGAAUGAGAUCUGGGAGCUUGCAUAGAACCAGAGUGAAAAUUGACCAAACUUUUUCAGAAGGGUCACAUUAGUUUUGACAAGUGAACAGCAAGUUAAAUAAUCUACCCAUAAAAAAUCUGGUGGAAUUUCAAGAAAGAGAAGUCUCCCAAAAUACCCAAAAUACACUUGCAGCACCAAUCUCACUAAAUGAAUGCAAAAACCAACAAAAAGAAAAGAGCUUGCUAGUAAAAGUGCACUGACCAGAAGUACUGGGUGCACCAUCAUCUUCCGUGGCAUUCUUUGAUACAACACGAAGUUUUAUCAUGACAAAUUCAACCUGAAUGCCAGUAUAAUAAACUGUACAUAUUCAAUACCAAGUAUAUAUAGUAAUUGGUGACAUCCAAUAGGAGAGUUUCAGGACUCACUUUUUGAAACCACUGACACUCUACAUCAAUGAGAUCACCGACUUCCCAUUCAAAACUAAAGGUUCCAGGGCGUUCGGAUGUUGAACCACUGAUUUUGAUGCAACCGGGAGAAAAGGUUAACUGAGGUUCUGUACAAUAACUAUCCCGAUAUAUAACAUAAUCAGGAUAAAGAACAACCGUCAUAUUUAUAUUAUCCUGCAGAUUAUGCAACAGUAUGAAAGUCACAAUUAAAAACCUUCUAAAAGUGGAUUAACAAAAUAUUAAAAAAUCUGCAAAAAAAUGGUAUAGAAAACUUAUUUAGAAGGUAAGUAACAUUAUAUUUGCUUAUUUAUUUUGCUGCAUUACACUUAUUCAAAGAAUAGAUAGUCUCCCUCACCAAAACAUGCCCUGAUGGUGCAUACUGGGUUACCUUACACAUCCCUUUAAUAGCUCACCAAAUAUUCUUUGUAUUUGUGACAUGAAACAAAAAAGUACCCAAUACUCACCUAAACUACCCAUUACACUACUCAGAAUAUGAAUAUCCCACAAACAACCCCACUUUCUUUCUUGACACUUAUUUUGUUUAACCAUCAACAUGCACUUUCACUUCUUUAUUUUUUCUAUUUUUGUAACCCCAAAUAUGUAGUUAUGCAAGGAGCAAUCUCACAUGUAUUGGACGGCUAAUAAAAGAGAAAAGAGAUUACCAUUUCCAAAUCACCAGAGCAAUGAUACGGUUUAUAUGUACCCAAAGAAUCUGAAAGUGAACAACAAAUAAUAGUAAGAACACCAAGAUGCACGACAGAAAUGACUAGGGAAGGCACAAACUAAAGAUUAGCAGUCCUCCAAUUAACAAGGAAAUACCGUCAUCCUCUUCAAUUUCAGAAGCAGGACUUGAUGGAGAGUCACUCGAGCUUUCAUCAGCAUCUAAAAUCACAUCAACUGGGUCAUUCUGAAAAAAAAAAAUAACACAAAAAAAAUUCAGAAAGCAUAAUUUUGAUAGUUAAUCUCUCCAUUAAGGAUAUACUUCAGCAGGUAUAUGACAGUUGACGUACACUGGACGGAGACACCUCAAGGGCAGAGUGUAACUGGCUUUUCCAUGACGAUGAUGACAUAGCAUUUGAACCUCUUCUCUCUGGCUCAGAAACAGGACUUCUGGAUCCAUGACUAUCUAAUUUGGAAUCAGAGUGUUGUUCAUGACUCAAACAUUUGAAUUGUGGUGCAGCAUCCAAUUCCAUAUACUCUAUCUUGGUAGCAAGGCUCUCUUCAAUUGUUCCCACGGGGGAAUAUGAAAUGGCAUUAUCACAACAAUGAUCUUGGUCAACUGAAUCAACAUCUACACAAGGUAUGCUGCCAAUAUCUUUUGAUUCAAGUUUGGCUCCCUGCACAACUAGAAACAUAUUUAGAUGAAUUAGUAUACUUUAUAGCUGCCACUGAUGACACACAUAAACCAUUUUCAUUUUUUAGCUAACAGAGAAAAAGAAAUAUAAACACCAACAACAACGUAUCAACAAGAUUCAGGGCAACAUCUUGCUACUAACAACCACAUUGUUCAUGAAAGGGUGCAAAAGGGAGAUAUAAAUGUGCAGUACAUUCCAACUGAUGACAAGUUGCAGAGAUUCUGACAAAAGGGGUUCAUAGUCCUGUAUUUUUUAAACACUGUUCCAAUCUCAAACUGGGAUUCUGCAGUUGAGAUUGAGGGGGAGUGUUGACAGAUGUCAGAAGAUUAGUGGCUGGAUUAGCACAUCAACCAAAACCGGAAUAACCAACAAGUAAAUCAGCAUUUUUACAAAAAGGUGCGAAACCAUUGUAAACAGGGGAUUGGAAUGCAGAUUUGACAUACAAACGGGACCUAACAACAAUGUUACAUAUUUACCAGAUCAUGCAAAAUACGGAACUGUAAGUAGCCUACUGCAUACAAAGUGAUUAUUAAUGGUCAAAGGUUACCAUAUAUAAAACUAGGAUUACUGGAAGAUCCGUCUGUAAAUACCCAGUUCUUUCAAACAUUUAUCCAACUCCACCAAAAAAUCUCUACCUCUUUCUACGAUAUGAUAACCUCAAUUUACAGAUUAGACAAUGCAGUUAACUAAGAAAUCAACCGCCAAAUUAUUAAAAUUUUCACCAUACAAAGAUAAUUUUUAGUAUGAGACAGUAAACAGAUCCCUCAUUUUAGUACAAAUUUGUUAUAAAAACAAUAAACCUGAAGAACAAUUAACCAGCAACUCAAAAAACUACUUAAUCCUAUACGAACGAUUAGCUUAUCGAUAAAGAUCAACUCCAAACAGGACAAAUUUCCAUCAUAGCUCAAAGCUAGCAUAGUAACAAUUCCCAACGAUCGAUUAUCAUAGCAGCAAGUGCCAAAGUUGUAAUUCGAAGCAUUAACAUAAAAAUUCAGACAAAAUUAUUGAACUUUUAUUCAUUUCACACCAGAUUAUUUUCCCCACAGAUUCUCGGCAACCAAACACAGAAGUCUAGCUUACAUAUUUUAGACAUUGCGGAAAGCAAACGUACCAUUCUGGAGAAAAUCGUACUUGAAAUUCGGAUUCGUAUCGAGCCUAGGGUUUUUUAACUUGCCAAAAUAUUUCCCCUGGAGCGAUUCCGAGUGGUCGUCCUCCUCGCUGAAGUCGAAGACUUCGAGACCGCUAGUCUUCAUCGCGAAGGUAACGGGUUUGGAGUGGAAACUCGGGCGAGUCAAAAAUUGACUCGGUGAGUGAGCACAGGGGGUUGCGAAACUCGGUCAAAUCGGAGAGAGAGCAGUGCGAGAGAGCUGAAGACGAGGGGUUCUGUCGUUGCUUUAAAUUUGUAGGUAACCAGCCAAUCAGAGACAACUUCCUUCUCUUUUCAUUUUUCUUUUACAAUUUUCUAUAAUUUUUUAGAAAUAAAUAAAUAAAUAAAUAAAAGAGUAAAUUACACAGUAACCCCUUAGGUUUGAGGUCUUGCACAAACUCAUACAACAUCUUUAAAACAUUUCACUUUCAUACCUCACGUACCAUUUUAUUUCAAAAUAAUACGUCUGUUAGUUUUUUCAUCUAUUAAUUUGUUAAGUGCUGAUGUGGCUGCGAUGUGGCUACCACGUGGCUGCCAAAUGUGUGUCACAUGGCAAAAAAAAAAUUAAUUUUUUUUAAAAAACCUAAAAAAUAAAAAAAAACUGAAAUGAUAACCCCACCCCCGUAACCCCCCCCCCACCCAAAACCAGAAACCCAAAACACUCCCCAACCCACAACCCUCCCUUCCCAGAUCCCCAUUCCUGCAACCAGUUCGUCUUCUCCUCGCACCCACAUUCACCCUCCCUCCCCAUUCUCCUUCCCUUUCUCCAUCCUCCAUGUUCAUCUUAUUCCCCCGAAACCCCUUCCUACAACCCACAAAAAAAAAAAACAACCCAGUUCGUCUUCCUCCGCACCCACACCCAUCCUCGCACCUGAUUUCACCUCACGAACCCGGCGAUGGCAGCGUAGACACGAUCUGGGUUUUUUUUUUUUCUUCCCUUUCUUUUCUGGGUUGCAGGGGGAAAAAGAUGAAGAUGGGGGAGAAGAGAAGAGCUGGGGGAUAUGGGUUUAGGGGUUACGAUGAGAAGAGAGGAGGAUGAGGGAAGGUUUCAGUUUUUUUUUUUUUUUUUUUCUUUCUGGGUUGCAGGGAAGAAGAUGAAGAUGGGGAUAUGGCUUUUGGGGUUGCAGGGAGAAGAGAGGAGGAUGAGGGAAGGUUUCAGUUUUUUUUUUUAAUUUUUUUUUUUAGAAGAUUUAGGUUUUUUGAAAAAAAAGUAAAAAAAUAAAAUAAAAUUGCCAUGUGGCACACAUUUGGCAGCCACGUCAGCACUUAACUGAUUAAUAGAUGAAAAAACUAACGGACGUAUUAUUUUGAAAUAAAAUGGUACGUAAGGUAUGAAAGUGAAAUGUUUUAAAGAUGUUGUAUGAGUUUGUGCAAGAUCUCAAACCUAAAGAGUUACUGUGUAAUUUACCCUAAACAAAAUGUAUUUGGGUUGGUGAGUGGUUAAAAGUAUUUAUUCUUAUAGAGUUUUUAUCAUAAAUAGUCUUUGAAAUUAACCCACUCAUUUAAGGUGGUCUUUAAAAUUCAAAUUCGAUCAAUGUAAUCUUUUGAUAUGAAUGUUGAAAAUCAAUAUCGUCGUUCCGUUAAAUUACUAUCAGAACUUCUGUUAGUGGCUAACGUAACGUGGCAUAUAUGUGGGACCUAAUCUAAUUAAAUAUUUCCAGCUAUUCCAAUUGGUUCUCGCUGAACCACAUCCACCAUUGUGAGGUCUAAUUCCUCCCUCCGUCUACAGCCCAGUUGUUGCCAUGUCCACGAAGUCGAGCCCAGUCAUAGUGUUGUUAGGAUCGCCCGAGAUUGAGUCAGCACCCUACUUCACUGCACCCUUCCUCCCUCCCUGGACCUUUCCUCUCUCCCUGCAAAUCCAAAUCCAUACAUCCUUCCUUCCUUCCUCCCUGCAAAUCCAAAUCCUUGGACCCUUCCUCCCUCCCUCCCUUCUAAACCAAAUCCCUGCAAAUCGAAUUCCAAAUUCCUGCAAAUCCAAGCCGCCACCACCAUCUUUUAAAUAAAUUUAAAAAUGAAAAAAAAAAAAGAACAUAGGAGAUUGGACGAUCUCUUUUCCCUCCAACCCAAUCCGAUAAUCCCUUCCACACACCACCUUGAUGUCCUAAUUAGUGAUUACUCCCUCUGAUCCUGCGUUUUUUUGUCUUUGGAAGAACCAAAACAUGCAAGAAACCAACCCACGAUUUCGACCUCUCUUUUCCCCUCCUCUUGGUCUCUCAAAGAUCGUGUAUUUCUACAAAACAUGGUGGGAAAGAUGGUGGCUUGGUGCUUGGUUUAGGUGCUCACAGGUCACAGCCUUUCACGAAGCUUUUUUUUUAAAUUUAUUUGUUAUUAUUUUUAGAAUAGAAAAAAAAAUUUAAUUUUUUUAAUUUAUGUGGGACCGAUACGUGACACACCCCGACCUAGAUCGAGGCAUGCUUGUCAUCACAUGAGGGUGACGUAGCUAUAUGCGCAAUGCGGAAGAAUAAUAAUGUAAAGAAUUGAGAAUAAAUAAAAACCAAACUAACUAAAACACUAGAUAAGAAUAAGUGCAGGACGAAAUUAAGUGUGACUAAACAUAAUCAGAGCGUAGGUAUCUUAGGUGCAGUCCAGCAGGACAAAUACUAAUUAUACAAUACCAAAGAUGGUCCUACAUUAGUGAUAAUCUUUCAGAGCUGCCGUGAAUUCCUCGUAAGCCACCAACGAGCACUCAUACCUAAAACCUGGAGGGGCACAAAGCAAAAAGUGUGAGUGGGCAAAAACAAAGCUUUUCAAAACCAUUUCACUAUCAAAGUAGUAACCCCUUGUCGUAAAACUUGUAUAAUUCCCAGAAAAUAGCAUACACGAUUAUAUCUCAAAAUCAUAUUCAACAUAGCAAAUCCAUCAAAUAUACCAUGUCAAAUCUCAAAAAGAAAAUAAGUAAGCCAUGUGAAAUAAAUCAAUAUGAAAUAGUAUGCAGACCGAAGUCACAUAACGUGACAUGUCCGGCUAGAUCUAUAACUCAUCAACUAGUUCUUUGCACACAAGUCGGAACCACCUAAAGUGGUAUGUACAACCAGCUAGGUGUAAAUAAGUACACUCAAGUGCUACGGUCACGUGAAGGCUGUGCGAAGUAUCGCAAGUCAUCUACGAGUCGGAACCACCUAAAGUUGUCUGUACGGCAGGCUAGCACCUGCCUUGGAUCCAAGGUGAGCGUGUGGUGUAGGAGGUGAACGAUCAUGUGAAGGUUAGGCCCUGUCCUCGUGCAGAGUACUAACACCAGGGUGCAGGAUAAUAAGCUCGAAAUAUAUCUCAGCACUAUUAUACUCACUACCAUCAAUAUACUCACCUGAAGCUUACCUGAGCGUCCACAUCGUCGAGCAACAAUAUAUAUAUAUAUAUAUAACCAUACUAAUGCACAAUUAAACAUAGAGAGCAUUUGACAUGACAUUUCAAAGUAUCAAACCAUUUAAUUAAGUUUUCUGGGAAAAUACCAAGUGUGUGUGUGUGUGUGUGUGUGUGUGUGUGUGUGUGUGUGUGUACUGAAAACCAAAAGCCCACUCACUGAUAUGUGGAAGAGUUGUAACCCCUGAGCCUUGCUUGACUGCGCUCGUCCUCAAGAUAAGUCUCACCUAUAUGCGAAACAACUAUUUAAACGUUAUUUUUAAGCACAUAAUCAAAACUAGGUAAUAACUUCUCAUAUGUUGCUCAAUUGGGGUAUUUGAAUAUACUACUGUGGCCUACUCAACCUCAAGAACAUCCCCAUAUUUUUAGAAAAAAUUUCUGAUGUCCCACACGCCCUCACGCGCCGGCCAAGGCACAACCAGACGCGCCGCCCACGUGCAGGCACGUGCCUGGCACUGACGGAUUCCCUAACAACGUUAGAGAAUAUUCCGUUAAAUAAAAGCAUAUGCAGUUAUUUUUACAUGACGCCGUUAGUCGCUGUUAGGAAUAUUCCGUCAAAGUUGACAGAAUAUUUGUCUUCUUCUCUGGUGAAUCACCAGAUUCCGUCGCAGUCACAGGAAACUGGGAAAAACUUCAAACCAUCAUUUCUCACUCAUAACUCAAUCAAAAUUCAUGAAACUUAUACAAAAAUGAAGCUUAGGACAAAAGGAACAAGUUUUUACCACUUAAUAGUCCUAAAACAAAUGGAAAGUCGCUAGAAAAUCCUUCGAUAUUCCGGUCACUCCUGCAACUCGCCAAACCUGAGCUUCCCGACGUUCAAAACCUUCCAAAAUUCUUCUUUGAGCUUCAUGAAGAAGUCCUAAGGCUCACUAAAACCUUAAAACUCGAUGAAACCUCCGCGAUCACGACGAAAUCAAUGUGCACCUCAUCGGGGUUUUUGGUUCUUGGGUUUUUGAGGGCCUCACGUCCAACCAAAACUACAACUCGACUCUUGAGCUUGAAAGAAGCACGAAAAUAACAUCCACAACCUUGAUCCGUGAGAGAUGACGAGAGUUGAAGGCUUAUCGGUACAAUUGUACGGACGAAUGGAAAAAUCCGAGAGGGAUGAGAGAGAGAGAGACUACGGGAGAGUGAAGGUGUGUGUGUGGUCCAACUUUGGGCUACCAAACAAAAACAAAUAAAACUAAAAUCUAAUUGGGUCCAAAAAGUUAGGAAAAACAUGACAUGGUCCAAAUCCUUAGCCUGUUUACACAUACACAACCACUAAACACUCAAGGGCAUAACCGCCACUUCACGCUAUCAAGGAUAAAAUAAUAUACAUUCGAGAUGGGCUAUCACAACCUACCCCCCUUAAGAAAAUUUUGUCCCCGAAAUUCCAUACAAUAAUGUACAACCACUAAUAACCAUAAAAUAAACGUGGAUACAUUUCCUUCAUAUGGUCAUCCGUCUCCCAUGUAGCUUCCUCCACUGAAUGAUUUCUCCACAAAACUUUCACUAAACGCAUGGUCUUAUUCCUCAAAACCUUAUCUUUCCAAUCCAAAAUCAUCACUGGCUCCUCAUCAUAAGUCAAAUUUGAAUUAAUUUCCAAUGGUUGAGGAGGUAUCACAAGUGAUGGAUCAAAUAUAUAAUGACGAAGCCUAGAGACAUGAAAAACAUCGUGCACUUUAGACAACUCCGGUGGCAACUCAAGCCUGUAAACAACUUUACCGACUCGCUCAAUGAUCUGAUACGGUCCGAUGUACCUAGGACUUAGCUUACCCUUUUUCCCGAACCGCACUACACCUUUCCACGGUGAUAGCUUCAAAAACACCCAAUCACCAACUUUAUACACUCGAUCAGUGGCAUGCUUGUCUGCUAGACUCUUCUGUCGAUCAUAAGCCGUUUUCAGGUUAAACUUAAUUAUCUGAAUAUUCUGAGUAGUCUCCUUUACAAUCUCAGGGCCCACUAAAACUCUUUCACCAACCUCUGACCAACACAAAGGAGUACGACAAGACUUGCCAUAAAGUGCCUCAAAAGGUGACAUACCAAUACUCAUAUGAUAGCUGUUAUUAUAUGCAAACUCCAUCAAAUCUAACCGCUAAUGCCAGGCGUCACCAAACUGCAAUACCGAAGAUCUCAGCAUAUCUUCCAACGUCUAAAAAGUCCUCUCAAAUUGCACAUCUGUUUAAGGAUGAUAUGUCGUACUAAAGUAACCUCGAACCAAGAGUCUCCUGAAAUGCCAUCCAGAACUUAGAAGUGAACUUAGGAUCUCGGUCCAAGAUAAUACUAACUGGAACCCCAUGGUAUUUAACAAUCUUCGAUAAAAAUAAUUCAGCUAAUCAGCUUAAAAAAUAUUUCUUCCUCACAAGAAUAAAAUGCGCUGACUUAGUAAGCCGAUCAACUAUCACCCAAAUGCCAUCAUAACCAUUUUGUGUACGAAGAAGCUUGUACACGAAAUCCAUAGUAAUAUCUUCCCACUUCCAUUGUGGCACGGGAAGUGGUUGCAUCAAUCCGAAUUGUUUUUUCCUCUCAGCUUUGACUUGUUGACAAAUGGCACACCUACUCACAUACUCAGCAAUUUCCCUUUUCAUACCCGGCCAAUAAUAAAAUGGUUGAAUAGUAUGAUACAUUUUAGUACCUACAGGAUGCAUUGCAUACGCCGAUACAUGUGCUUCAUUAAGAAUUUCUUUCUUUAAGUCCGCAUUAUUCGGCACAUACAUUAUUCCCUCCUGCACAAGCAUGUCAUCCAAUUCUCUAAUCCUUAGAUCUUUCUUUUUCCCAUCAUUUCUUGCUUAAAUUAAUUCAUGGGUUUCCUCAUCAUUCAUCUGAGCCUCGAGCACUCGAUCAAUUAAAAUUGGUCUAACCUGAAAAUUAGCAAGUAAGGCUUCCUCGCGUUCUUCCACCUCUAACUUCACUCUAAUGGAUCUCAAAUCCGCAAGAAGAGGAACAUGACAAGCGUACAAAGCAUUAAUUCUCACUUGAGGCUUCCUACUAAGCGCAUCUGCCACCACAUUUGAACGACCAGGGUGAUAAUCAAUCGUGCAAUCAUAAUCACUGAGCAACUCUAUCCAUCUUCGUUGUCGAAGAUUAAGAUCCCUCUUAGUGAAAAGAUACUGAAGACUCAUAUGAUCUGUAAAAAUCUUACAUUUUUCAUCAUAAAGAUAAUGUCUCCACAUCUUCAAGGCAAAGAUAAUAGCUGCUAAUUCAAGAUCAUAAGUAGGAUAAUUCAUCUCAUAAGGCUUCAACUGUCGUGAAGUAUAAGCAAUCACCCUACCAUGCUGCAUCAACACACAUCCCAGACCAUUCAAGGAAGCAUCACUGUAAAUCUCAAAGUUACCACUAUCAUCUGGAAGUGCUAAAACAGAUGCAUGAGUGAGACAAUACUUCAACUGCUGGAAACUCCACUCACAGUUAUCAUCCCACUCAAAUUUAACAUCAUUCCUAGUUAACCUUAUCAGUGGUAAUGCAAUAACUGAAAAAUCCUUAACAAACCGUCUAUAAUAACCAGCUAGGCCAAGAAAACUCCGUACCUCGGUGACGGUUCAUGGUUGCUCCCAAUUUUCAACAGUUGCUACCUUUUAAGGAUCCACCAGAAUACCUUGAGCUAAUAUAACAUGUCACAAAAAUGCCACUUGAUCUAGCCAAAAUUGGCACUUGCUAAACUUAGCAUACAAUUGGUGUUCCCUCAAUUUCUUCAAAACCAAAGUGAGAUGUCGAGCAUGCUCUGAUUUAGAAUUAGAGUACACCAGGAUAUCGUCAAUAAAGACAAUGAUAAACCUGUUUAAAUAUUGCUGGAAUACUAGAUUCAUCAAAUCCAUAAAAGUUGCAGGUGCAUUAGUCAACUCGAAUAGUAUCACAAGAAACUCAUAAUGACCAUAUCAAGUCCCAAAAGCUGUCUUAGGGACAUCCUCACUUCUGAUCUUCAAUUGAUAAUAACCAGACCUCAAACCAAUCUUAGAAAACACACAGGCGCCUCGAAGCUGAUCAAAUAAAUCAUUUAUACGCUGCAACGGAUAACGGUUUUUAAUCGUUACCCGAUUUAAUUGCUUAUAAUCAAUACAUAACCUCAAAGUCCCAUAUUUCUUCCUCACGAAUAACACCGGAGCUCCCUAGGGUGAAGUAAUAGGCUGAAUAAAACCUUUAUCAACUAAUUCCUGCAACUAGAUUUUCAAUUCCCUCAAUUCAGCAGGAGCCAUUCGAUAGGGAGUUAAAGAUAUAAGAUUUGUACCUAGAAGCAAAUCAAUGGUGAACUCCAUGUCCCGGUUUGGCAGCAAUCCAGAUAAAUCAUCAUGGAAUACGUCAGGAAAAUGCCUGACCACACGAACAUUCUCCACACUAUUAGGAGUAUUAUCAUUCAACACCAUAUGAGCCAAAUAUCCCUGACAACCUUUCCCUAACAACCUUCUCAAACAACAUUUUAGCUCUUAUGGCAGAAAUAACAUCAUGCCUCACUCCACUACGCUCGCCCACAAAUGAAACCUCAGGCAAUCCAGGACGAUGAAAAGUAACUGAUUUCCCGUAGCAAUCUAUAUUGGCACGAUUAUAAUGCAACCAAUCUGUGCCCAAAAUGACAUCAAAAUCAACAAUAUUUAACGGGAUGAGGUUAACGAGCAUAACAACAUCAUCCACUAACACGGGACAUCCUGGAUAUACACAACUAACAUAACAUAUCUCCUUUCUAGGCAUAACAAACUCUAAAUCAUACCCUAGAGGUGUGGGAUGAGGUUGAGUCAACUGAGCGAACGUAUGAGAAAUAACAAAGGGCUAUCAAUUAAUACUCUAGCAGAAUGACCAAGAAUAUUCAAUGUACCCAUGAUCAAAUCAGGAUUAUUCUGAGCAUCAUGUAGUGUCAUGUGGUGAAUACGUUCCUGGGCUUGUUGCCGUCCUCCAUGACCUUUGUUAACUUGAUUACUACGUCCCUGCACAUUACGCCCCUGACCUUGCUGGCUAAGUUACCUCGAUGGUCCUGCACUACUAGAAGCAACCUCCACGUGCUGGGACUGUCCUCUAGGGUACCAUUGUGAUUCACCAACUGAAUAUGGCAGAUAUGGCAUAUAACCUCCAAAAUACUAAGGAUAACCACCCUGCUGAUACAGGUCAUGCGGAUACUGAUACUGCCAUGCAGAAUAAAGAGCUACAUCGCCUUGGUAAUGAUAAGCACCUUCACGACCCGUCUAAGCAUAACCACUAGGUCCUGAAACUUGCUGGAUCGACACUGAUGGUGGUAAAAAAAGCUGUUAGAGCCUCUGCUGAUUCUGAGGACAAUGCAUAGCCUUAUGCCCCAAUUGACCAAAGAUAAAACAUCUUCUACUACCAUGUCUGCAUCCCCAAAAUGUCAACUAUUACAUCUAUGACAAAACGGACUCACCAGAAUCUUUCUGCCUCUAAAAAUGAGGACCUCUAGAAAAUCUACCAUCUCUCAUUUGCCCAGUGGAACUCAUACCUCAGCUAGAAGAACUAGAACUGGCACCACUUCUCUUAAAAAUUUGAGUCUUACGAGGUCCCUGAGAUGAUUGACCUUUAUCUUUAUCAUCUUUCUUCUUCUGGUUAUCUUUUUCCCCAUCGCUCUUACUAGGCAUAUUUUCUGAAUCUUCAAUCCGCAGUAAAAUUUCAUAAAACUCCUGGUAAGUAGCAUAAGGAGUCGUGGUCGCCAUAGAACGCCGUUUCUUUCGAGUACCCAACCUGAAACGACGAAGCAUCUCACCCGUAUUAGUAGCAACCUCCAAAUCAUAACGAGACAAAUCAGCAAACCUCUUGUAGUACUUAUAAGCUGACAUCUUUUCAUGUUUUAGGUGCAUGAAUUCUUGCUUCUUAGGAUCUAUAUACUCUGGAAGAAUGAAUCUCUUCUGAAAUAACUGCUUAAAAACUUCCCAAUCAACAGCUUCAUUUGGUGAUAACUGAUACGACUCUUGUCUCCACCAAGAUGCAGGUUCGGGACCUAAAAACCAGGUAGUUGUCUCGACCCACCUAUCAUGAGAAAGACUACACUGACUCUGCAUCACACAGAAAGUUUUCUCAAUAUGAUUGAGCCACCGCUCUGCUUCUUCAUUACCCAUGAAAUGAUUUAACUUCAGAUUAUACACAGUCUCCAGAUGUGUCAUUUGGGGAGGAUGAAGUGAAGACUUAAUAGCAUUUGCUAUAACUUCCUCUAACUGAGCAAUAUCAAGGAAACUAGGCUCAGCUGAAGGACGUGGCUCUCUACGAGGCGGCAUAGUUCUGACAGAAGACACCAAGAUAAUUAGAAUAUUCACAAGAUAUGUAGGACUGCCAAACAUAGGCUCUGAUACCAAACUGACACACCCCGACCUAGAUCAAGGUAUGAUGGCCGUCACGUGAGGGUGAUGUAUCCAUGUGCGCAGUGCGGAAGAAUAACAAUAUAAAGAAUUGCGAAUAAAUAAAAACCAAACUAACUAAAACACUAGAUAAGAAUAAGUGCAGGACGAAAUUAAGUGUGACUAAACAUAACAAGAGUGUAUGUAUCCUAGGUGCAGUCCAGCAGGACAACUACUAAUUAUACAACACCAAAGAUGGUCAUACAUUAGUGAUAAUCUGUCAGAGCUGCUGUGAAUUCCUUGUGAGCCACUAACGAGCACUCUUACCUAAAACCUGGAGGGGCGCAAAACAGAAAGUGUGAUUAGGCAAAAACAAAGCUUUUCAAAACCAUUUCACUAUCAAAAGUAAUAACCCCUCGCCGUAAAACCUGUAUAUUUCCCAGAAAAUAGCAUACACAAUUAUAUCUCAAAAUCAUAUACUUACUACCAUCAAUUUACUCACCUGAAGCUUACCUAAACGUCCACAGCAUCGAGCAACAAUAUAUAUAUAACCAUACUAAUGCACAAUUAAACAUAGAGAGCAUUUGACAUGGCAUUUCAAAGUAUCAAACCAUUUAAUUAAGUUUUUUGGGAAAAUACCAGUGUGUGUGUGUGUGUGUGUACUGAAAACCAAAAGUCCACUCACUGAUAUGUGGAAGGGUCGUAACCCACGAGCCUUGCUUGACUGCGCUCGUCUUCAGGAUAGGUCUCACCUAUAUGGGAAACAACUAUUUAAACGUUAGUUUUAAGCACAUAAUCAAAACUAGGUAAUAACUUCUCAUAUGUUGCUCAAUUAAGGUAUUUGAAUAUACCACCAUGGCCUACUCAACCUUAGGAACAUCCCCAUAUUUUUAGAAAAAUUUUCCGAUGUCCCACACGCCCUCACGCACCGGCCAAGGCACGGCCAGACACGCCGCCCACGCGCAGGCACGUGCCUGGCACACUGACGGAUUCCCUAACGGUGUUAGGGAAUAUUCCGUUAAAUAAAAGCAUAUGUCGUUAUUUUUACCUGACGUUGUUAGUCGCCGUUAAGAAUAUUCCGUCAAACUUGACAGAAUAUUCGUCUUCUUCUCCGGUGAAUCACCGGAUUCUGUCACCGUCGCCGAAAACUGGGAAAAACUUAAAACCAUCAUUUCUCACUCAUAACUCAACCAAAAUUCAUGAAACUUAUACCAAAAUGAAGCUUAGGACGAAAGGAACAAGUUCUUACCACUUAAGAGUCCUAAAACAAAUGGAAAGUCGUCGGAAAAUCCUUCAAUAUUCUGGUCCCCCUUCAACUCGCCAAACCCUGGCUUCCCAACGUUCAAAACAUUCCAAAAUUCUUCUCUGAGCUUCAUGAAUAAGUCCAAGGCUCACUAGAACCUUAAAACUCAAUGAAACCUCCACGAUCACGAUAAAGUCACUGUGCACCUCAUCGGGGUUUUUGGUUUUCUGGUUUUCGAGGGCCUCACGUCCAACCAAAACUACAGCUCAACUCUUAAGCUUGAAAGAAGCACGAAAAUAACAUCCACAAUCUCGAUCCAUAAAAGAUGACGAGAGUUGAAGGCUUGUCUGUACAAUUGUACAGACGAAUGGAAAAAUCCGAGAGGGAUGAGAGAGAGAGAGAGAAUUGGUGAAUGAGGGUGUGUGUGUUCUCUAGCUUUGGGCUACCAAACAAAAACAAAUAAAACUAAAAUCUAAUUGGGUCCAAAAAGCUAGGAAAAACAUGACAUGGUCCAAAUCCUUGGUCCGUUUACACACACACAACCACUAAACGCUCAAGGGCAUAACCGUCACUUCACGCUAUCAAGGAUAAAAUAAUAUACAUUCGGGACGGGCUGUCACGAUACCUGUGUUGCAUCAUCACACUAACAGAAGUUUUGACGGAAAUAUAAUGGAAUGACAAUAUAGAUAUUGAUUUGCAGCACCCAUAUUUAGGGAUUACAUUGAUUGAUUUUCAAUUUUAAUGAUUGAGUGGGUCAAGUUCAAGGACCAUUUGUGAUAAAAACUCAUUCUUAUAUUCGAGGUGUUAAGUUUGAUUUUUUUUCAUUAUCUAAGACCAUUAGAUGUUAAAUUUUAGAGAUUGGCUACAAUACCUGAAACAAUGGACGUUUCUGGUUUUGUAGGUGCUUGAAACAAUUUUGUCUUCUCUAUAUAACUAUGUCUCUUGAGUUAAUAAUUUUAUCAAAAGAGUUAAUAAUUUUAUGAGGAACUACUUAACUCAAUCACUUGUUGUCGUUACUCUUUAGUUUUUUGUUGAGGUCUAUGAGAUGAUAUCUUUCCGAAUGGGAUAAGAGAAUUCCUACUAUCUAUUUUUUUUUCGUUUUAAUUAAAGAAAUAAUUGAAAAAUAAAAACAGCAAGUAUAAGAAUGAGUAAUAACCCCCAUUAGAGAUUGAUACAAUUCAAUUCAACACUUUGUUCGUUCAAGUUUGACUAUGGCAAUACAUCUAAGAAAUUAUUUCAUCGAACGUUUUUUCCCCUGGAUCCAGGAAUAGUGACAUGAAGUAAAUGUCUUAUCUAAGUCAAUGAACUCACUCUAAAUAAUCCUAACAAGUGAUGAUUUAGACGAAAUUCAACAUUUUUGAACCACGAAACGCUUUUGUUGGUUGGUCACAUUUUAUUCAUGAAAAGGGUUGAGUUGGUAUUAGGUUGGAUAGUAAAGUAAUUCUAUUAGAUUUAAUGUACUUAUUAGACCUAAUAAGUACUUUUGUGUCAAAAUUGAGAAAUUCUAUGGGCCCAAUCAUAGACACUCUAAAAUCCUUUUUCAAAUUUACUCCCAUUUCGAGUCAAUAGGUAGAUAAAUAGACACAUCUCACUGCACUGAUCAUGGGCGUUAGUGUUGACUGAUGUGGUCGAAGACCAAGAAGGGGUUAUUUAUUAGCUAAACAUUCUUGAUACAGCUAGAUCCAAUCUCAUAAUCCCUGUGAAAAGGAAAAAGAAUUUCAUGUUCUUCCCUUCGAGAGAUGAGGAUUAGGAAAAUCCUAUUAACUGCAGCUUUCUCCAGACCUCCUAGAAAAGCAUUUGUAUUUAAUACAUGUAAUUUUACGUAUUCUUACUUUCAUGCGAGUAUAUAUAUUUAAUAUAAAAUGGUAAUUGGAUAAAAUAUAUGUAAGUAUUGUAGCAAAUUUCCAAAUUUUAAAAUAUUGUUACUCACCUCAGUAAUUUAUCUCCACACCCACUCUAAUGCAAUUAAUAAUAAUAGGUUUGAGCACAAAAAGGUAAUAGAAAUACUUGCAUACCUUGGGGGAUAAGCAUAUUCCAUCGUUUACAAAUAACAUAUUUUUACUCUAUAAAUUUCAUGUCGAAACCAUAAGAAUAAAAUAUUAUAUUUUCUUAAAUUCCAUUCUUCGUGAGUAAACAUAUCCUCUCAAAUUAAAGAGAACUAUCACUACUAUAGUCUAGUGGUAUGUAAGUGAGAAAUUUUAGGUUCGAUUAUCUCUAAAAUCGAGUUUCAACUAAAUUAAUAAAAUUUAGCUCGUGUUCGGGCAGGAAUUUCCAUGGAGAAUGCCCCUGACUCGAGCACACAGCUUCCCGAUGAGUUAGCACUUUGGUUGGCUGUCGGGCUCCUGCUUGUUGAAAGGCUGCAAGAGGAGGAUAUAGUUAGUUCUGAAAGGUGCCUUUGUAAGGCCUUAGGUGUAGGCCUUGAUGCUCACAAUCAAAACUAACUAAGUGCUUAGGUGUGCCACUGCCAUCUCAGUAUGGCAGAUGUAGAAGAAGUGUGUUUAAGUCGAUUACUUGCACCUCAAGUUAUUCUGACUUCUUGUUAUGAAAAGAUUGUCGUAGAUGGGUUAAGUCUACAUUAAGUUUUUUUCUAUGUCUUGAGAUCAAUGACUUUUAUUAUCUUGUAUGCUUUAAAGGUUAAAAAUCCAGAUCUGAUUAAGCCAUCGGUCUAGUUCUCGUUCAAUCAAUCUUUUAUAGCAGUAAAACUACUAAAUAAACCAGAUCUGAGUGCUAAUGGAACCUUUGAUCAUCAAAUGACUGGAAAUGACUUGAAUAUAUACUAAAGAGUACAUCAUAAUACCAGAUCUACUAAUUGAAAGAUAAAACAAGGAGAGUCGGGCAAGAUUUCACCUUGUCGAGUAAGGGUGAACAUCUUGCAAUUUCUUCUCUUUAUGAUUACAAAGGUUUAUGUGUUGAAAAGGAUAAGUGGUAAACAAGUUUACAUGAGGGAAUAGAUACUACAUCAUCUGGAGAAGGUAGUAGAGCUUUUACAUUGGACAAAAGAUGACUUUCUAAGGGAACUAUUGCUAAAAGGGUUUGGAGGGUACGAACUGGCUUGAUAGCAGAGUUUGUAUGCUUGUUUGUUUGAUUGGUUGAGUGUCUUUGUCUCUAAGCCUUGUCUUCCCUUUUAUAGGCAUUUCAUCUUAGCUGUUGCAAGCUUUACCCGAAAGCACUUAGUGAGUUAUCAUAUUUUUUACAUGUUUUACCAUUCAGAAAGUGUUUUUGGGCUGAGAGUAUAUUGAUUUCCAUCGAUUAUCACUUCCUUUGGAAGCACUUAGCCUUUGCAUUAAUGAGGAACCGUCAUAUUGUCUUGAGAUGGAUGGAUGGGCCUGGUGCUGGGCUUCGGGUAAGUCUCCUUCCUUUAGUUCUUAUGGGCUUUUUUUCUUUUAGAUCAAAAGUUUAAAUAUUAAUCCAAACAGCACAUUUUUAAAGUAAAUAAUAUCGGAUGUGAUAAAAAAUAACUUACAUGUGGUGCGUGGCGCGCGUUCUAUGUCCAAUAUUGUUCUGUAAAUCGGUUGUAUCUGCAUGUGAGUAGCUCUCACUCGCAUUGAAUUCCCCAGCUGCUGAAUCAAAAUCAUAAACCAUUAACCCUUAUGCUUCCUCUUUCAGUUUUCUCACGUUAAAAUUUGAUCUGAUUCAGUCCUCCUUUGCCUGUGAGCUUCUCCGCCGCCCUCCCUACUUCCCCACAACCACAAUCUGCAACCAAUGGUGAAAAUUUAGGUAUUCGAUCAAAACCAAACCAACCCAUGAAGCUUCACAAGGACUACUAUGGCUACUGCUACCCCAACCAGUCUCAGAAAACCGCUUUAACUGGCCUCCUGGUGGUCCUCUUUCCAGCCUUCCUGCCAAACCUCUUUGGCCCAUUAAGCCACACUGCUCAUUCCAUCUUCUCGGUAAGUUCCUUCCCACCAAACCACACUCACAUGUUUGAAGCUUUUGUUAAUGGAAGUGCUUAAUUUUGUUGAAUAAUUGUUAAACUGAGAUGGGUAUUUUUUUGCAGGAGUGGAAUGCUCCGAAACGCCGGCUUUGCGCCUUCUAAAUCCGGCUUUACUUCUUCAAUCUAUCAGUUCCAUUUCCCUUUUUUUGUUUUUGCCUUUGAUUUGUUGUUUGCUUAUAAACAGUUGAUCUGAUUACAUGUAUUUACAUAUUGGUUUUGAAUUUGUGUAGUCUGUGGAUCAACAGAGCAAGCUUUGGGCUCCGUUGCCCAACCACGGAUGGAAGCAUUGCCCUGAAGAGCCUAAUAGUUUAUCAUGUGAGUAUUAAAGAUAAGACCACAUUAUAUGUUACUUUGUAUUGAUUGUUAUCUGAUGUACUUCCGCUCGUUUUCUUGCAGCAUCGCCAAAAGAAUCUACCGGGUAUAUUCAGGUGUUCCUUGACGAAGGCUUGAACCAGCAGAAAAUGGGGGUAAGUUUUGAAAAUUUUGUGAGGGAAGUCGUGCUAUAACUUGUAAUAUUAAGCCAAUUGGGUGUACAAAAUGAUGUUGUCUAAUUUAAUUUAUUUGGUCUUUUUUUCAUCUAAAAGAUUUGUGAUGCAGUUGCUGUUGCUGUUGCUAAAAUUUUGAAUGCCACUUUGGUUAUUCCACACCUUGAAGUUAAUCCUGUGUGGCAAGAUUCGAGGUAUAUAGUGAGUAUGCUAACCUGGAACCGUUCCUAGAAAAUUAUUAUUUCUGUCUAAGGGGAGCCGUUGAUGUGAAACUCCUUGUGCUUUUGCAGCUCCUUUGAGGACAUUUUUGAUGUGGAUCACUUUAUUGAAGCCCUACAGGGUGAAGUUUCUAUAGUUAAAGCCCUUCCUAGUGAAUUUUCUUGGAGCACUAGGGAGUAUUAUGCUACUGGCAUAAGGAUUACUAGAAUAAAAACAGCACCUGUUCACGCUUCUUCUGAUUGGUAUCUGGAAAACGUCUUGCCCUUAUUGCAAAGGUCAGUAAAUGCGUUGACCCUUUAUUGAGUAGAAAGUUGUUGUAUCGUAUACUAUUGUCCAUAUCAUAUAUGUUGUGUGUCCUAAAGUUCAGAUUCCAUCUUGUAUUGGACCGUGCUGUGUAUCAUUCCCUAAAGUUGUGAUCGUGAUAGCUUGUGUUACAAACUUGGACAUUAGUUGUCAUCUUUUUACCGGGGUAAAUAGCAGAAAGAAGUUGUCAUAACAAGGUAAGUUUUGGCAUGGUAAUAUUAUAUAAGGGUCAUGACUUUGGGAAAUAGGUUGUUUGGUUAAUGUGCAUGGCAUAUAGUUAGAACUUAGUAAUGCAUCAUAGAAAUACUUAUGUAUCUGCAUGUCAAGGCAUCAGGUUUUCAAGUUACAUUAUGUGUUGGAUUUUAAUAAAAUAAUUGUGCGAUGGCAAGUGCCUUCGCCCAUGAGCGGUAGGUCUCGAGUUCGAGACUUGGGAACAGCCUCUUCAUAAAUGGGGGUAAGGCUAGCCGACAUUCACCUCUCCUAGACCCUGCGUAAAGCGGGAGCCUUGUGCACUGGGUACGACCUUAAUUGUGGAUGGAUUGAGUCAGUGUUUUAAAAAAUUCAAUACCAUAAGUGGAAUUCAUUAUAGAUUUUUGCACCUUCAGAAGAGAUCUCAAAGGGAAGGUAUAUUGAAUUACAGAAAUUGAUUCCCGUGUACCUCUUGCUGCUCCAAGGCAAGAAAGAUAGAGGAACGAAUUCAAGACAGUCAUUUGUGGACGGAAAUAGCAUGGUUUUCUAGGGUUAACUUUAAGCCAGAGAUAUCCUUUAGUUUUAUGUUAGAGUAUCUUUUCUGAGCACAACUUGAGCUACCAAUCUGAAUUAUAUGCCUAUGUUUCAGUACAAUAGGUUACUUUUUAGGAUCUAAAUUUUAAACGAAUAUCUUUUCAUUACUUAAAAGGUGCUUCACUGCUACAGAUAUGGAGUUGCUGCUAUCUCCCCAUUUUCUCAUCGUUUGGCCUUUGACAACUUGCCUCAAAACAUACAGCGCGUAAGUUGUAAAGUCAACUUUCAAGCUUUAGCCUUUGUUCCUCAUAUCAGGGAAUUGGGAGAAACCCUUGUUAAUCGUCUCCGCUACCCUCCCAAUGGAAACCCCAAAGGAGGUAGUGACUCACAGGACAAGGCAAAUGAAAUUGAGAAACAAGGAGCUGGGAAAUAUGUUGUUUUGCAUCUUCGCUUCAAUAAAGUAUGUUUUUAAUUAGCUUUAGAUCCUUGGCAUGUUUGAUUAUGUAAUCUGUUGAUGCACAAAAUCAGUGAGGACUUUGGUACAACAGAAAGUGUUAAGUUUGUGACCUUCGCUAGAUUGUUCCGGUCACUAGUGUGGAUAAGUAUGUAAAUGGAUAGGGACAGAGAAGCAAACACAAGAUGUACGUGGUUCACCCAGAUUGGCUACGUCCAUGGAGUAGAGGAGUUCUCAUUAAUUGUGAAGGGUUUACACAAGUACAUAUGUUCAAGCUCUCUUUUAGUAAGUACUAGUGAAUGAUUUAGUACAAAUGACAUUAGGCAAUAUUGUGGGAGAAUGAUCUCCUUUUAUAGAAGAGUUUCUAGCUUUGUUCUGACAUUGACACGUGUCGUGUUGUAAUUGGCUUCUGAUGUUGACACGUGUCGCGCUGUGAUUGGCUUCUGAUGUCGACACGUGUCGCACUGUGAUUGGCCUCCUGGUUGGAGGGAAACUGUUGUGGGUCCUUGACGGUAUAACAUUGAUCAGUGCUCAGUAGUUUCGGGAUUGGUCAAGUAUGGUACAAACAUAAUCAUUUCGGAGUCUUGGGGCUAAUAUAAGUUUUAAGAAAUAUAUACUGUACAAAAUAAUUUUUGAAGAAUCUUAAAGCUUUUUCUAAGAAUCUUAAUUACAUCUGCGGGAUUAGUAUUUCCUAAUAACUUCUUUGCCUGCACAUACACACAGGACAUAGCUGCUCAUUCAGCGUGUGAUUUUGGUGGAGGUAAAGCUGAGAAACUCGCCCUUGCAAAAUAUCGGCAAGUAAUCUGGCAGGGUAGGGUCCUAAAUUCUCAGUUCACAGAUGAGGAGUUAAGAAAUCAAGGGCGUUGCCAUUGACUCCUGAAGAGAUUGGAUUGCUGCUGGCAGCUUUGGGCUUCAACAAUACCACCCGUCUCUAUCUUGCUUCUUACAAGGUUUGUCUUAAAAGCAGAAUGUCUUUGCUGGUAUUUAGGGUCUAAUGGCAAGGGGCUCAUUUGUAGAUGUUUUUGUUUGUAAAAUUUGGAACAUUUUAAGUUAGAUAUUCUCCUUAUCUUCAUCUCUGUCAUUUUCAUUUCCCUCUCUCUUCAAUUGAAACAAAAGCAAAAAUGUUGACAAACGAGCCCCAAGCGUUUCAUGCGAUUCCUUAGGUUCCUUCUCCAUAAAUGUUGACAGGAUUAAAAAUUGUGAGCUGACAGGAUUAAAAAUUGUUUGGGAGCAGCCUCUCCAUAAAUAGGGGUAAGGCUAGCCGACAUUCACCUCUUCCAGACUCUGCGUAAAGCGGGAGCCUUGUGCACUGAGUACGAUAGGAUUAAAAAUUGUAUCGUCAGGUGGGUCACCGGGCUUACAUGAACUUGAAGACUAUUAGACCAAACAUGGCGUUGUCGGGCAAACUUUUCGUGAAUAAGAGCAUGGAAUGGUCGGAUUUCCAACGUGCGCCUUCAGAUGGGCACAAAACUAGACAGGGGCAGAUGAGGCUGAGGAAGGACAAACAAUCGAUAUACACGUACCCUGCUCCUGAUUGCAUGUGUCGAGCUUAAUGAAAUUUUUGUAUAGGCUUAAUUUGAGCUAAUUAUUGUACAGUAUGCUACUUCUUAUGUAUUGAUGAUGCCGGCAGUGGAGAGAUUCAAUGACAAAACCACCAUUCGUACCACGACACCGACACUGACUGUUCCAUUUAAUACAGUGAAUUUUUUUGGUGCUACGAGAUUCCAGGCUUUGAGUAACUUAGAACAAACAUUUCAGCACGCUGUCAUCAAUGUCUUUUUAUAAGAAUGCUCCUAUGCUCACCCUUUUGCCUUAUUUUUACACCCAUAUCAAAUUAAAUAUUUUGUUGACAAAUUUACCCUCUUGCACGAUGACAGCCAACCCAUAACAAACCCCUCGUGAUAGUUAAUAACUAAUAUAACAGAAAUAUAGUUAGAAGAGUAUUAUAGUAAUUUCCUUAUAUAGCUAUCAUUUCCUUAAGUUCAGUUGUAUACAUUUUCUCUAAUCAAUCAAUACAUUUUCUCUCGUUUCUCUUUACCAAUUCUUCCUCUUUCUUUGCACCAAUUCUUCAUCUUUUGCAAUGUAGUUAACAAUAGUGUGCCACAUUGAUUCAAAUUCGGCCACAAAAAUGUGUACAGAUGGAGGCCUAGAUGGGUGGAGGAGGUAGGCGGUUUGGGAGCAGUGGUGGUAGUUCUGUAAAAUUUGGGACUGGGGUGGGUUUUGGGUGUUUGUGGGCGCACCUGGUGUUGGGGGUGGGAGGGGGGAUGGUUUUGCGGUUAGGUUGGCGUUUGAAGUUUUCUAAUAUAAUUUUUUUUAAUAGUGUAGAAAAAGUGAAAAAAGUUUAAAAAAUUAAAGUUAUUUUAAGUGUUGGGGGUGGGAGGGGGGAUGGUUUUGCGGUUAGGUUGGCGUUUGAAGUUUUCUAAUAUAAUUUUUUUUAAUAGUGUAGAAAUAGUGAAAAAAGUUUAAAAAAUUAAAGUUAUUUUAAGAGUAAUGGUGGGUGUGAAAAUAGUAUUCCGUUGUUUUUACCUUUAAUGGUGGGUGGCAAAGUAAGCCCUAGUUUGGUACUGAGGUAAUUUUAAAAAAAUUGGGUAUCAAAAAAAGUUGUGAGAGUUUUUGGUGUAUGGUAAACACUCCAAAUCAGCUUUAUUUCAAAGUUUUGGAUGAAAAUAAGCCCAAAACCUGAAGCUGCAAAAGGCAGCUUCAAAAAACCAGCUCACUGAAAAACACGGAUAAACUGUAAAAUCUUUAAUGAAUUUUUCAAUUUGCCAACAUUGACAAAAAAAGAAUGUAAACUAAAAUCGUAACAUAUAAAUCAUUGACGGAUUAACUCAUUUGUCGAUUUGUCCCCAGAACUUAUUUAGAGCUGUAAUUUCUCUCCUGAAUUUUAGUUUUAGCUGAUUACCUUCUUGAACUUUUAUAAUUAGUCAAUCUCCCCCUAAAACUUCUAUUUAGCCAAUUACUCCCAUGAACUUUUAUAAAUAGCCAAUCCCCACCCCCCCUCCCCCCCGGGACUAGAUUUUAAAAUUUUUCAUUGAUUUUCCAUCCAUUUUAAUCAUGUAGACAACACAACACAUGACAAAUGUAUGGACAUAAAAAGAAUGGAAAAUUAGAUGAAAUUUUUAAAAAUCUAACCCUAGGGGGGGAAUUGGCUAAAGUUAAAGUUAAGCGGAAAUUGACUAAUUAUAAAAGUUUAAGGGGGCAAUCAGCUAAAAUUAAGUUUAGGGAGAAAUUGGCAACUCUAUACAAAUUCAGAGGGCAAACUGACAAAUACCUCUAAAACAAAUGGAAUCAAGAGGCCUAUUCAUCCUGUACAAUAAUGAAGAAAAGAAACAACAGUGUAACAUCAUCAAGUCCUUUGAGGAACAACGAACCUAACAAUGCAACGCCGACGCCAAUCAUAUUUCUUUGCUUCCCUAAAAUGUGAACGAAUGGAGAAGAUGCAAGUACUAACAGUAUGUUCAUGUUAAAAGACCAAGUUCCUCAACAAAGACAAUCAGAAAAACCUUAGCAGGCAACACACACCGUCUUAUCAGUUAUGGCAGAGCACUGUUACAUUACAUAUCUAAAUUCCCACAUGCGCAGAAACCACAUAUUGGACAUUGAAAUCAAAAUACUGACUUGGGAAGCGGCGACUGAUUACUUGUGGCAGAUGGUGGUUUAAGAGAGGAUUAAGGACUGGUCUCUCUGAAUGGUGUGCCGUAAUCCCAGCUGGCUCCAUUUGAGAACUUGAACCGUGUGUAUCCAUCAUCCUGAUUCCCUAUGGUACGUCCCUUGCAUCGAUGGUCUCACCUACAUAUCCCAAAAACAACCACCGUUAAAUAUUCCAGCAAGUAAACACACAAAAACAGCCUCAAUCUACAAAGAGAAAACCAACCCUCUACUAAACAAAAUAGAAACAUGGUAGAAGUACAAACUUUAAAUCUGAAUUGGUCACCCACCCAACUGAUACCAACAUAUCAAAUUAUCAAUGUGAUGCAAAUUUUAAAUUAACACUCACACGCCUUUAGAACUUCAAAAUUAAACGAAAAUCAUAUCAGCAGUAAACUGAAAGUAACACAAUCAAGAAUGCUAGCGAAGAAGGAAACCUUGCUGUAUGCCAAGUUUAUGCAAAAUAAUUAAAAGAAUUACAACACUUGAGUAAGUCCAAAGGCAAAGACGGCCUUUUUUGCCGGAUGUCCUUCCCUUGUGCUUAACUUUAACAGACAAACCCAAAAGUGUUGAAGAGAGGUUGGAUGUCAAAGGAAAUUUAAAACUUCACAACAAAACUGAUUAUAAAAAGUAAAAAUGAAGUCAACCUUGUUUGUGAUUGACAUAUACAAUAUCACUAUUCACAAGAAUCACAACACAAAGUACACAUAAAAUUACAAUAACCUUGUAAGAAUGAAUGUUAAAUAGAGAGGGCACACUGAUUACCUGGGUGAUUAGUGGUCCGGAAAAAUGGGACUGUGAUAUCAUUACAUGAUUAAGAAUGUCUUCAGCUGAUCUUUGUAUGUUUACUGCAAAAGAGGAACUGAGAACAUAUAUAUCACCUUAUGUGGUCGUGUGUGCAGUUUUCUAAUGAAAACAAAAAGGAACUGACAAUUCAAAUGGGAACGUGUAUACAUCCCUUGUUAAAACUAGACUAUCAGAUUUUAGCACAGGAACCCCGUUUCCUCCACUUGGCCAAAAACAGAUCUGCACAAGAAAACAUUGUAUCUGGAAGAAACUGGACCUAUGUCGCUAAAAAUUAAAUGCCACAAAACUAAAUCAAAUUUCCCUGGCCACCGACUCUAUUUAGAAACCCCCCACCCCUCCAACUCACACACAGACCAAGCAAGCACUACACUAGCUUCAUGAACUUGACAAAACCUUGAAACAAGGAAUGAUGAGCAAAUUUUAGAUACACAAGCACGCACACAACAAUUCCGCAAAGGGACAAAGAAAACCGAGAACUCUACUGACAAUUAUACAUACCAAAUCAAAUACAGCACCUGGAAAUACAUGAUAUGUGUGUAACUAAACCAAUGAGAAAACCAUAUCAAACCAUGUGACGGAAGAUUGAUGCUAACCAUAUGUACUCGACCUUUUCCUAUAAGAAAUUUUUUAUCAAACAAAAUUACAGAACUCAAUUAGUAAUUUAGUAGUACAUAUCAGAAGAAGAAAAAAAAAAGAAUAAUCAGCGGAAAGACAAAAGGAUUUUCAAUUUUUGGUCCCUCUCCGCCUUCUGUGCAAAAGGGGUCCUCUUGAACCUCUCAACUUCUUCCCUCACAUCAUUUACAGCAAAAAUGUCAAGAAAAAGCCUCUCAUUACUCACCACCGACUCCCUUACAAUGUCAUGCACAUUUCUUAGAAAUUCCGAAUAAGGAUCGGCGGCCAGCAAAUUAGUUUUGUCAGCCAUGUAAAAAAUUCAGAAUUAGGGCAAAAUCGAAAAAAUUCAACAAAUUCAACAAAUCAAACAAAUCCAACAAUCGAAUUAAACGAUCGAACAAAAAAAUUACAUAAAGAAAUCGAGAGAACAAGGAGAAAGGAAUAUAUAUCACCACAAACGCCAAACGAAGAGGCCUGCUGAUAACGGCGACGGCGAAGGUCUCCGCCAAAUCCACUCAAGCUCUGUCGUGAUCAACAGUAGCGAUCGAGAGAUAUGAUGGAGGAGAGCGAGGAGAGCUGACGAGAGAGAGAGCGAGAGCGAGCGAGCGCGCGAAGAGAGAGAGGGAAAGUUAAGUUUAGGGCUUGUGGUAGUAAAAAACGGCUAUUAAUUAAGUUGGGUCACGACUCCGGUUAAAUUAAAUUGGAAAUUGGGCUGUCAAAUGGGCUUGAAACCCAGGCCUUCUUAGACUCAGAGCCCAGUCGAGCCUUUUUUUUUUCUUUCCUUUUUUCCCAAACUAUGACCGUCAAGUCAAACUAUUAAAUAAUGGACCCAUUUUAUAAAAAAUAAGUAAAAUUAAAACAAGAAACUAAGAUUCAAAACAAUAAAAAAGCACCAAUUGACACACGCGUAGACGUGUGGCAAGAGGCUAAUUAACCAAAAAGAGAGAAUGUACAUAACACAAAUUAUCCAAACCUAAAAAAUAACACGCAACCUGAUUAUCAUCGUGGAACACAAAAUACAAACAAAAAAAAUGCACUAACAUCAAUACUCCAUAAUAAAUACAGAAACUGCCAAAAGAGAAAAUAGUGAUACAAUAAACUCGACAGUGUACACUAUUUAUGUGCAGUAUAAACAUUUUUCAUCCUUCGGUGACGGGCAAGAGUCUAGCGUUUAGGCGUUUAGGCGUUUAGGCAGUUUUUUUUUAAUUUUAAUUAAAUUUAUUAUAUAACAUGUAAAUAAAUGUCUACUUAUACUUUAAAAAAUGCAUAGUUGUAUUAGAAUGCAUAAAUUGUAAAAUAAAAUGACACAUAAAUUAUAAAAUAUUAUAACAUAUUGAAAACAUGAAGAACAAAGCAUAUAAUGAGUGUUCAUCCUAAUAUUCAACACAUUUCUUACGAUUUAGGGCUUGUGGUUGUCGUACGGCUAUAAAUUAAAUUGGGUCACUCACAACUCUGGUUAAAUUAAAUUGGGAAUUGGGCUGUAAAAUGGGCUUGAAAUCCGGCCCUUCUCACUCAGAGCCCAGUCCAGCCUUUUUUGUCCUUUUCCCAAACUAUACAGUCAAUCGACAAAAAAAAAAAAAAAAAAAACUAUACCGUCAACUCAAACUAUCAAAUAAUGGACCGACCCCUGUUACAAAGAAUAAGUAAAAUUAAAACAAGAAACAAAAGUGAAAAAACAAUAAAAAAGAAUCAAUUGUCAUAAGCACCAGCGUGUAACAAGUGGCUAGUUAAUUAUAAAAAAAGAAUGUACAUAACACAAAUUACCCAAUCCUAAACCUAAAAUAGGACUCACAACCUGAUUAGCAUUGCGGACAUAAAAAUACAAAAAAAAUAGGCACUAACAUCAAUACCCUUACUACCAUUUAGUACUACGUCUAGUGGUAUUCCUCUUCAUUUGUAAGUAAGAGGUUUUAGAUUCGAUUUUUGCCAAAACCGAGUUUGAACUACAUUAUUACUAGCUCAUUGUGAGAUUAAGCUCAUCCCCUCCCCCUUAGUGUAGAUAAUAUUGAUGGUUUCCAAACCAAAAAAAAAACAUCAAUACCUUACUAAUUACAGAAACUGCCAAAAGAAAAAAUAGUAAGACAAACUAGAGAGUGUACACUACAUAUGUGGAGUCGGUAAACUCUUUUCGUCCCUCUAUCUAUCCACCGAGGUUUUAAAAGGCGCUAGCCACUAGUUGUGUGAUAGACAGGAGUCUAGUAUCUAGGCGGGGUCUAGGCAGUUUUUUUUUUAAUUUUAAUUAAAUUUAUUAUAUCACAUAUAGAUAAAUGUCUAUUCAUAUUAAAAAAAAUUAUUAUAUUGGAAUACAUAUAUUGCAAAAUAGAAUGACAUAUAAAUUAUAAAGUAUUAGAAUAUAUUGAAAAUAUGGGGAACAAACAUAUAAUGAGUGUUCGUCAUAGUACUCAACACGUCUCUUAAUUUAUGGAAAAAAAAUGCAAAAUAAAAGUUAAUUAUUUUAUGUCUAAGUAAAAGUCGAGACCUACGCGGAUGACUAGGCAAGUCUAGACGCCAUUUCUUAAUUUUCAAAUGCCUAAUAAUUAAUUGGAACAAUGGUCACCCGCCUAGCACCUAGAUGACACUAAACGGAAACUUUUAGAACAACGCUAUCCACAAUGCUUUAUGGCCCUUGAAAAACUGUUUUCUUAUUGAUGUGUGAGUUGCACAUAUUUUGUUUUAAAAGCCGAUCCAUUUUUCAUUUUGGGAAAUUUUAUUUAAACCCAUUAAUCCUCUUUCCACACCCAACUUAGAAAUUUUGUCCCACAAACUUACCAUUUUACCCUUAAAUACAAAAUUGAUAAACUUGAAAAAAUUACACAAACAUAUAAACCCACCCAACCACCUACCCUAGCAACAGCCGGACUUGAUUAUGGUCGUCAUCAAGCAACCAAUCGACAACCUUGCUAGGCUGGUUAAGACCAAGCCUUUCUUGAAGAUCAUACAAUUGGAUUGCAAUGGGUACCGAUAGCCUCACAUGCCGAUCUCGAAGCCCUCUUAUGGUGCAAACUAGGGGUGGUUCGGGUCGGGAUCCCGAACCGAAACUCCUUUCCCAAAUCCCAAACCAAAACAUUUCGGGAUGAGAUUUUAUAUCCCGAAACCGAACCGAAAAUGUGCAUUUCCCGAAAUUCGGGAUUCCCGAAAGUGUUUCGGGAUUUUCGGGAUACUUCGGGAUUGGGCCUUGAAGCCCAAAAUGUUGGGCUUUUAAGAUUGCAGCCAGCCACUGCCCAAAAAAAAAAAAAUUAAGGUUACAGUCACUGCCCAGCCCACCUGUUUCAAUUUCACCACAAAUAUCACAAUACCACAUGUUUCAAUUUUCAUAUAAAGGAAGCAACUAACAAGUCUAUCUACCAAACUAUUUAAUUAAAAGUGCAUGCAACAAAAAUGAAAUAAGUUAAGUUUUACAAACCAAACUUCCAAAUUGUCUACCAAACUAGUUAAUUAAAAGUGCAUGCAACCAAAAUGAAAUAAGUUAGGUUUUACAAACCAAACUCCAAAUGAAUUUAGAUUAAGUUACAAUCCAAAAGCAAAACAUAGUUUAUAUUAUAAGCAAGAAAGUGCAUGUAACCACAACCAAGCUUAAAUUCAUUCAUUCCCUUUAGCUAAAACCCUGCAAUUCCAAACAAAACCAACCUGAAUUACAUGAACAACAACAACAACAACAACAAAGCAUUUUCCCACUAAGUGGGGUCGGCUAUAUGAAUCCUAGAACGCCAUUGCGCUCGGUUUUGUGUCAUGUCCUCCGUUAGAUCCAAGUACUCAAGUCUUUUCUUAGGGUCUCUUCCAAAAUUUUUCUAGGUCUUCCUCUACCCCUUCGGCCCUGAACCUCUGUCCCGUAGUCACAUUUUCGAACCGGAGCGUCAGUAGGCCUUCUUUGCACAUGUCCAAACCACCGGAACCGAUUUUCUCUCAUAUUUCCUUCAAUUUUGGCUACUCCUACUUUACCUCGGAUAUCCUCAUUCCUAAUCUUAUCCUUUCUCGUGUGCCUAUACAUCCCACAAAGCAUCCUCAUCUCCGCUACACCCAUUUUGUGUACGUGUUGAUGCUUCACCGCCCAACAUUCUGUGUCAUACAACAUCGCUGGCCUUAUUGCCGUCCUAUAAAAUUUUCCCUUGAGCUUCAGUGGCCUACGACGGUCACACAACACGCCGGAUGCACUCUUACACUUCAUCCAUCCAGCUUGUAUUCUAUGGUUGAGAUCUCCAUCUAAUUCUCCGUUCUCUUGCAAGAUAGAUCCUAGGUAGCGAAAACGGUCACUUUUUGUGAUCUUCGCUAGAUUGCUCCGGUCAUUAGUGUGGAUAAGUAUAUAAAUGGAUAGAGAUUGGAAAGCAAACACAAGAUGUACGUGGUUCACCCAGAUUGGCUACGUCCACGGAAUAAAGGAGUUCUCAUUAAUUGUGAAGGGUUUACACAAGUACAUAGGUUCAAGCUCUCCUUUAGUGAGUACAAGUGAAUGAUUUAGUACAAAUGACAUUAGGAAAUAUUGUGGGAGAAUGAUCUCGUAACCACGAAACUUCUAAGUACCGGAGUGUGGUAUCGUCUUGACUUGCCUUAUCUGUCUCAUAGGUAGAUGUGGCAUCUUCUCUGGAAGUACUCUUCCUCCAUCCAGGGGUGGUAUCUGUAACUGGUGGAGAUGCACAAGGUAAUGUAUCAAUUUCACUUGAAGCUUACUUGUAGUUUCAGGCUUGGUCAAGCGCGAUACAAACCAUGUAGUAGGAGUCCCCCAAGUCGCCGAGCUAGGGGAUCUGCUGAAAGAGGUGACAGACAAGGUAAGCAAUCAGAGCUCCGGCUGAUUGUUCACAUUCUCCCUCUCUUGCAGGCAGCAUGAAGGAUAAAGAGAAGAAAAAUGAGAAGAGAUGAUAUGGGAUACUUUUGCUUUUGAAGAAGUAACUUUCCACAGGCUUAUUCUUGAACCGGGCUGGAGGGUUUUCUGGUUUCCUCCAGAGUAUAAGGCCGACUGAAGAAUUUGAGGGUCAAAACAAGUCCAUCAAAUCUAGAGUACGUUCGACCCUGCUGAUAUGGGAUACUUUUGCUUUUGACAAAGUAGUGAAUGUAUCGGCACGUGUGCUGUUACGCUUGUCUCCACAUGCUUCCUUGUAUCCUUCUCACUUGCCCUAUCUGUUUCUCAAGCAGAUGCGGUAUCUUCCUUGGAAGCAUAAUAUGUUGAAGAUGAGUACUCGAGAGCAAUGCCAGGUAAGUAAUCAGGUAAGGGGUUCCAGGCAGUCAGUUCCUGGCUGGAAGCUUGAUUCCAAGUGCUGACUGAUUGCUCUCUUUCUCCUUGUCUUGCAGUUAAGAACAAGGCCAAAGGAAAAGACAGGGAAAAAGCAUGAUAUGGGAUACUCUUGCUUUUAACCCUGAUGAUAUGAGAUAUUCUUGCUCUAGUAUAGCUUGUUUACAGAGGUAUUAUCGGGGGGAAAGAAAGCUGAAUAUUUCGAAAGGCUUCGUUGGGAGUGCCCUCUCAGAUAAGAGAAAGGGUUGAGCAUUUUUGCAGGUCUGCCUGUCCGUUUAGGGAUGGAGGUCGACAUAUAUAGGAGUCUCCCUAACAUCAAGUAAUAAUGCUAUUCCUUUACCCUGCUUGGUCAUAGCACGGUAGUGGGAGCUGCCAGCUUCACAUGUUUUAACUCUGUCAGAGCACUUUGAAAAAGUGGUCUGUGGUAUCUGGGAAGCUGAUGUUGCGUGUGAAGAUUACAGACAAGCUUUAUCCAAGGAGAUCCAGCUCUUGAAGUUGGGAAAGUGGUGCCUCUUCGGUUUUCGAACAAGCAAUCCUGUCGGGGAUCUGGCUCUCGAGAUUCAGAGAACGAUGCCUCUUCGAUUUUUGAGAAAGCAAUCCUGCUGGGGGUCUGGCUCUCGAGAUUCGGAGAGCGGUGUCUCUUCGAUUUUUGAGAAAGUAAUCAUGUUGGGAGUCUGGCUCUCGAGAUUCGGAGGGCGGUGCCUCUUCGAUUUUGGAGCAAGCAAUCUUGUUGGGAGUGUUUUCUCGAAUGUGAGUGAAGGUUGGGCAUGUUUACUAGUCUACCUUGCCACAAAGCACAGAGGUUAACACACAGGGACUUUCCAAUUAUCCAACAGUGGUACUGUUCCUUUACCUUCUCUUCGAUUUUUGAGAAAGUAAUCAUGUUGGGAGUCUGGCUCUCGAGAUUCGGAGGGCGGGUGCCUCUUCGAUUUUGGAGCAAGCAAUCUUGUUGGGAGUGUUUUCUCGAAUGUGAGUAAAGGUUGGGCAUGUUUGCUAGUCUACCUUGCCACGAAGCACAAAGGUUGACACACAGGGACUUUCCAAUUAUCCAGUAGUGGUACUGUUCCUUUACCCUCUCUUCGAUUUUUGAGAAAGUAAUCAUGUUGGGAGUCUGGCUCUCGAGAUUCGGAGGGACGGUGCCUCUUCGAUUUUGGAGCAAGCAAUCCUGUUGGGAGUGUUUUAUCGAAUGUGAGUAAAGGUUGGGCAUGUUUGCUAGUCUACCUUGCCACGAAGCACAGAGGUUGACACACCGGGACUUUCCAAUUAUCCAGCAGUGGUACUGUUCCUUUACCCUUGUGGGUAAUAAUAUGGUAGCUAGACCUUCAAAAUUUAUGUGUCUAAACUUUGUUAGUGUUGUUUCUUUGCUAUUCUUUUUACCCUUCUUGGUCAGAGCGAUGUAGUGGGAGCUGCAAGCUUCACGUGUCUCAACUUUGUCAGAGAACUUUGGCAAAGUUAUCUGUGGUACCCAUGAGCUACUGUUGCGUGUGGGAAGUGGGUGAUUGAACAGUAACGAUUCAUGUGCUUUUCUACUUCGCCAGAAAUCUUCGACAGAAUGCCCAUAAUUUCCGCAAAGCUGAGUGUGCGUGUGACAGGUGCUGACAAGGCUGGAAAAGUAGGUGCCUCUUCGAUUUCUGAGAUCGGCCCUCGUGGUCUCUGAGCAGCCCAGCUUUUGAGAAAGCAAGCCUCUUCGAUUUCUGAGAUCGGCCUUCGUGGUCUUUGAGCAGCCCAGCUUUUGAGAAAGCAAACGCCUCUUCGAUUUCUGAGAUCGACCCUCGUGGUCUCUGAGCAGCCCAGCUUUUGAGAAAGCAAACGCCUCUUCGAUUUCUGAGCAGGCGCCUCUUCGAUUUCUGAAGCUUCGUCGAGUGCAGAUUUUUAUAGGGGCUGGACAUUAAGUUCCAAAGCACACUUGAAUCUCCACCAGUAGAAGCUUCAUUCUUGCACUUCUAAGAUCUUGAUUUGUCCGACCUCUUCUCUCUUCAACACCUUUGAAAAUGUCUGGCCCCUCCGACCGUCGUUUUGACUUGAACCUUGUUGAAGAGGCAGCCCCGCCUUCUCCAGACAACAUAUGGCGCCCAUCCUUCGUCUCCCCUACUGGUCCUCUUACCGUUGGGGAUUCCGUGAUGAAGAAUGAUAUGACCGCUGCGGUGGUGGCCAGGAACCUUCUCACUCCCAAAGAUAACAGACUACUUUCCAAACGGUCUGAUGAGUUGGCUGUUAAGGAUUCUCUGGCUCUCAGUGUUCAGUGUGCAGGUUCUGUGUCUAAUAUGGCCCAACGCCUAUUUGCUCGAACCCGCCAAGUUGAAUCAUUGGCGGCUGAAGUGAUGAGUCUCAAACAGGAGAUUAGAGGGCUCAAGCAUGAGAAUAAACAGUUGCACCGGCUCGCACAUGACUAUGCUACAAACAUGAAGAGGAAGCUUGACCAGAUGAAGGAAUCUGAUGGUCAGGUUUUACUUGAUGAUCAUCAGAGAUUUGUGGGUUUGUUCCAAAAGGCAUUUAUUGCCUUCGUCUUCUGGGGCUGUACCGCGUAAUGAAGCUCCAAAUGAUCAACCUCUGAUGCCUCCUCCUUCUAGGGUUCUGUCCAGUACUGAGGCUCCGAAUGAUCCCCCUCCGGUGCCUUCUCUUUCUGGGGCUCUACCGACUGCUGAGACUUCUCCUAAGCAACCUUUGUGAAGGCUCCCUCUUGUUUGUUUAUUUUGACUCAUGUAUAUGUACAUAUUUGUAACUUAUCGGGGAUAUAUCAAUAAAUAAGCUUUCCUUCAUUUCAACGUAUUGUGUUAAAUACACCAAAGCCUUCUUCGCUAAGUUCUUUGAAUUUUCUUUUGUUGAAGCUUGUAUGUUGAAGCUUUGUGAGUGGAGCAUGUAGGUUGAGGUAGUGUUCCCUUAAUUUCCCGAGUGAGGAAAACUUCUCGGUUGGAGACUUGGAAAAUCCAAGUCACUGAGUGGGAUCGGCUAUAUGAAUCUUAGAACGCCAUUGUGUUCUGUCCUGUGUCAUGUCCUCCGUUAGAUCCAAGUACUCUAAGUCUUUUCUUAGGGUCUCUUCCAAAGUUUUCCUAGGUCUUCCUCUACCCCUUCGGCCCUGAACCUCUGUCCCAUAGUCGCAUCUUCUAAUCGGAGCGUCAGUAGGCCUUCUUUGCACAUGUCCAAACCACCGUAACCGAUUUUCUCUCAUCUUUCCUUCAAUUUCGGCUACUCCUACUUUACCCCGGAUAUCCUCAUUCCUAAUCUUAUCCUUUCUCGUGUGCCCACACAUCCAACGAAGCAUCCUCAUCUCCGCUACACCCAUUUUGUGUACGUGUUGAUGCUUCACCGCCCAACAUUCUGUGCCAUACAGCAUCGCCGGCCUUAUUGCCGUCCUAUAAAAUUUUCCCUUGAGCUUCAGUGGCAUACGGCGGUCACACAACACGCCGGAUGCACUCUUCCACUUCAUCCAUCCAGCUUGUAUUCUAUGGUUGAGAUCUCCAUCUAAUUCUCCGUUCUUUUGCAAGAUAGAUCCUAGGUAACGAAAACGGUCGCUCUUUGGUAUUUCUUGAUCUCCGAUCCUCACCCCUAACUCGUUUUGGCCUCCAUUUGCACUGAACUUGCACUCCAUAUAUUCUGUCUUUGAUCGGCUUAGGCGAAGACCUUUAGAUUCCAACACUUCUCUCCAAAGGUUAAGCUUUGCAUUUACCCCUUCCUGAGUUUCAUCUAUCAACACUAUAUCGUCUGCGAAAAGCAUACACCAAGGAAUAUCAUCUUGAAUAUGUCCUGUUAACUCAUCCAUUACCAACGCAAAAAGGUAAGGACUUAAGGAUGAGCCUUGAUGUAAUCCUACAGUUAUGGGAAAGCUUUCGGUUUGUCCUUCAUGAGUUCUUACGGCAGUCUUUGCUCCUUCAUACAUAUCCUUUUAUAGCUUGGAUAUAUGCUACUCGUACUCCUUUCUUCUCUAAAAUCCUCCAAAGAAUGUCUCUUGGGACCCUAUCAUACGCUUUUUCCAAAUCUAUAAAGACCAUGUGUAAAUCCUUUUUCCCAUCUCUAUAUCUUUCCAUCAAUCUUCGUAAGAGAUAGAUUGCCUCCAUGGUUGAGCGCCCUGGCAUGAACCCGAAUUGGUUGUCCGAAACCCGUGUCUCUUGCCUCAAUCUAUGCUCAAUGACUCUCUCCCAGAGCUUCAUUGUAUGACUCAUUAGCUUAAUACCCCUAUAGUUCAUGCAAUUUUGUACAUCGCCCUUAUUCUUGUAGAUAGGCACCAAAGUGCUCAUUCGCCACUCAUUUGGCAUCUUCUUCGUUUUCAAAAUCCUAUUGAAAAGGUCAGUGAGCCAUGUUAUACCUGUCUCUCCCAAAACUUUCCACACUUCGAUUGGUAUAUCGUCUGGGCCUACUGCUUUUCUAUGCUUCAUCUUCUUCAAAGCUACAACCACUUCUUCUUUUCGGAUUCUACGAUAAAAAGAGUAGUUUCUACACUCUUCUGAGUUACUCAACUCCCCUAAAGAAGCACUCCUUUCAUGUCCUUCAUUGAAAAGAUUAUGAAAAUAACCUUUCCAUCUGUCUUUAACCGCGAUCUCUGUAGCAAGAACCUUUCCAUCCUCAUCCUUGAUGCACCUCACUUGGUUUAGGUCCCUUGUCUUCUUUUCCCUUACUCUAGCUAGUUUAUAGAUAUCCAACUCUCCUUCUUUGGUAUCUAGUCGCUUAUACAUAUCGUCAUAAGCCGCUAACUUAGCUUCUCUCACAGCUUUCUUCGCCUCUUGCUUCGCUUUUCUAUACCUUUCACCAUUUUAAUCGGUCAUAUCCUUGUAUAAGGCUUUACAACAUUCCUUCUUAGCCUUCACCUUUGUUUGUACCUCCUCAUUCCACCACCAAGAUUCCUUUUGGUGUGGGGCAAAGCCCUUGGACUCUCCUAAUACCUCUUUUGCUACUUUUCGGAUACAACUAGCCAUGGAAUCCCACAUUUGGUUAGCUUCCCCCUCUCUAUCCCACACACACUGGGUGAUUACUUUCUUUUUGAAAAUGGCUUGUUUUUCUUCUUUUAAAUUCCACCAUCUAGUCCUUGGGCACUUCCAAGUCUUGUUCUUUUUUCUCACUCUUUUGAUAUGUACAUCCAUCACCAACAAGCGAUGUUGAUUAGCCACGCUCUCUCCUAGUAUAACUUUGCAAUCCUUACAAGUUAUACGAUCCCCUUUCCUCAUUAGAAGAAAAUCUAUUUGUGUUUUUGACGACCCACUCUUGUAGGUGAUCACAUGUUCUUCUCUCUUCUUAAAGAAGGUGUUGGCUAAGAAGAGAUCAUAUGCCAUUGCAAAAUCCAAGAUAGCUUCCCCAUCCUCGUUUCUCUCCCCAAAACCAUGGCCACCAUGAAAACCUCCAUAGUUGCCUGUCUCCCUGCCCACGUGUCCAUUUAAAUCUCCUCCUAUAAAUAACUUCUCCGUCUGAGCAAUUCCUUGCACCAAGUCUCCAAGGUCUUCCCAAAAUUUCUCCUUCGAACUCGUAUCCAACCCUACUUGAGGUGCGUACGCACUAAUCACAUUGAUAAGUUCUUGUCCUAUUACAAUCUUGAUUGCCAUGAUUCUAUCUCCUACCCUCUUGACAUCUACAACAUCUUGUGUCAAGGUCUUGUCCACGAUGAUGCCAACACCGUUUCUCAUUCUAUUUGUGCCCGAAUACCAUAGUUUAAACCCUGAGUUUUCUAGAUCCUUUGCCUUACGACCAACCCAUUUAGUUUCUUGUAGGCACAUAAUAUUUAUCCUUCUCCUCAUCAUAACUUUUACUACUUCCAUAGAUUUUCCCGUCAAGGUUCCUAUAUUCCACGUUCCUAAACGCAUUUUGCUCUCUUGAACUCUACCCUUCUGUCCUAGCUUCUUCACCCUUCCCCGUCUAAUAGGAUCAAAGUACUUCUUUUGUGUGUCCCGUGUAAAGUUGAUAGGAGCAUAUGCUCCCAAACAACUUUGAGUGGAGUCGUUCGAAAAGAAGUUUCUAUAGCCCCCUUGCUCAUUUAACACUGCAUCCGGGUGCCGAUGGAGAUACAGCGACCCUUGCUCACUUAUCACUGUGCUCGGGCCACACAGCGCGCCACUUACGGGUGACGCCCUAGCUUUAGCACGAUUUCGUUCUGGAUUCAUUUUCAUAAGGAUUCGACGUGAUCAUGGAGUACCGGCUGUCGACUACCUGACGCCCUCCCCCUCCUCCUUUAUCCGGGCUUGGGACCGGCAAUGUAAGAUAAACUUACACGGCGGAGUUAACCUGAAUUACAUGAACCCAUAAACCAAAAUAAAUGAAGUAACAAGUCACUGUGGAAACUUGAAAAUCUGAGCUAAAAACAAACUGCCAUUAGCUAAAAACAAACUGCCAUUAAGUAUCACAAACUGCCAUUAGCUAAAACCCUGCAAUUCCAAACAAAACCAACCUGAAUUACAUGAACCCAUAAACCAAAAUAAAUGAAGUAACAAGUCACUGUGGAAACUUAUCAAAUACCUUGCGGGCAAUUAAGAACAAAGCAAAUGGAAUAGUAACAUAUCACUGACGAAAUUUAUCAAACAACUCACAGGCAAUCACAACACUCCAUGGACAGGGAAAACCAAACGAACAAAACGAUAAGAAAACACUGAGGAAAUUUAUCAAACACCUCGCAGGAAAUGUGGACACUCCAUGGACACAUAAAACCAAACAACCGAAACGAUAACAAUACACUCAGGAAAUUUAUCAAACACCUUGCAGGAAAUCACAAUUCUCUAUAGACACCUAUAACAAAACACUAUGAAACUUUAUCAAACACCUUCCAAGCAAUCACAAUUCUCCAUUGACACAUUUAACAAAACAAAAGAAAUAAUAGCAGGGCAUCAGAAAUAUCAUCGAACACCUUACAGGCAAUCAUAAUUCCACACGAAAAUAAAACAAAACUCAAUAAACAAAUCAAAGAUCAGGAAAUUAGACAAACACCUUACAGGCAAUCACAAAUAACUGGUGGGAUUCAAACGAAGAAGAAGACGAAGAGGAACCUGGACUUCAGCCGGGAGAGCA
rnacentral:lncRNA from 1 species